UGCCGGCAGCGGGCUGCACGAAUCAUCUCCAUCAACACCUGCUGCUCCCCCACGCACCGAAGAAAUCAAGAACCAAGGAACGCGAGCACGACGACCACCUGCAACAUCCUCCCCUUCUCCAAGUGCUGCUGCCCUCUCCUUUGGUUAAAUCCCCACCGAACUCUCUCUCUCUCUCUCCUACUUGUUGCUUGCUGUUUGUGUGUACAAGAACUGAGAAAGAACAUGCUGUUGAUCUUUGGAAAGUUAGCUGAGCCUUGCACUGUGUUAAACUCUCUCUUUAGCUUCUGGCCGAUGUGUGCACUUAAUUAUUGUUCUAUGUUAUAAUCUACUCUGAUAUUUGUGAAUGUGGCUGUGUGUAUACUUGUUGAUGUGUUUCGUGCAAUUUUCUAUCCCUAUCUAAAAACUUGCUUCUUCCCAGUCUUAUAUGUUUGCUGGUGAAAUUACUUUCUGUCAAUAUUGUUCUUUGUCUUUGCUUCUGCCCCUGUCUUUGAUGUAUGCUUGUCUUAGUGUUUUAGAUUCUAAAGUAAAUUGAAAAUACCAAAAAAAUAUUGCAGUCAUUCUGUACCUUGAAUCUCAUAAUUGUUUCUAUCCUUAUCUUGGAUAAUUGCUUGUGAUGUUUCGUGGUAGAUGAUCUUGUCUUGCUUUAUAGUGGGAAAUCUUCUCUUUGUUUGUUUUAAAUGCCAAAAUCCUUUCUUGUGAUCUAGCUUUAACCGAACAUUGUUGUCGCUGCCUAGUGCCUGUGGAGAAUCUCAACAAAAACUACUAUAUUUGCAUUGAUCAAAUUGGCGCCGUUGCCGGGGACUAGCAGCGAGCGAUUGUGUUAGGUUAUAGACUAGGUGUUUUUCCCCUUGUUUAGUAACCCCUAUUCUAGGUGUUUCUCUGUUUUCUAUUUGUUUCUUGUCAUAUUUAACAGGUUAUAUUAUCAUCUUGGUCAUGUCAUACUAUUCAGAUUAUUAUGGAUAUGCGAGCAGUAGCGGCAACAACAUAACAAGUCUUCAAGAUAAGAUAAAUGAGUUGUCUGGUCAGAAGCAAAUGUUAUCAAGUAAAAUAGAACAACACAAUUUGCAGCAAGGAAAUGGUCUUCAGGGAGGCCCUGCUAUUUUGAUCCUUAUUCUGUAGGCCAUCCCCAUACUUAUGUUGCUCCUGAAUGUCAUAUUUGUGGAUAUCAAGGUCAUAUUCCCGUCGAGUGUCAGCUGGGUAAAUCUUUCACCCCAAAUUGUUAUGAUAUGGGUUUUACUCCACAGCAUGAUCUGUACCACAACAAUUACCCCCUAGUGGGCUUGAUAACCCAAAUAUUACAUUUAGGAACAGCAGCCCUGAGGACUCAUCUUUUUCUUCUAGCUAUCCUAUGCAGGGAUUUAGGAAUGAAGAGGCGAAGUCACAAGCUCAGUUAAAUUUUGAAGCAGAACAACAAGCUUGGUUUGAAGAUUUUAUGAAGACGCAGCAAGAGAAGAUGGUUCAUCCACAAUCAGCUAUACUUUCAGAUGUAGAUCAAGAACAUGUGAUUUCAGAAAAUGAAGAAAAAGUUGCUCAGAUUUGGGAAGAAGAGAGAUCCGAGAUUAAAGAAGAUGAUGCACUAGAAGACAAGACACACAAUGAGCAAGAGCUGGACUAUGGAAGUAGCAAAGAUAUAGUGGCUGCCAAUCUUGAAGAUAUUGAAGAUAAAGAGGCUAAUGGAGUGGAAAAUGAAGAUAAUGAGGAGAUUCAAGUCGACAUGUCAAUUAUCAUUCAGGAGUGUGAUGAAACAGGUUUAUCAAACCCAAUUAAUGACAUUCUUCCUUAUGAAUUCCCUGCUACUACCUUGCAUUGCUUGAUACCAUCACUUAAGGUAGAACUGAAUUGUGACUUUCUUAAAUUUGAUGAUGCAUACUUUGUUAGUGACAAUACUGAAAUUCAUGAUGAUGACUCAUGUUAAUCACAUGCUAAAAUUCUGCUUAUGGAUGCAUGCUCUAAGAUUACUCGCGUCUCACAUGUGAAUAUUUAUCAUUCUCACCUUGUGCUUUAUUGCUACGCUUACAUCAUUGGUUUUUCAAUUGAUGACUUAGAGGGUGUUGGUCCUUUGACCUCUCCUAGGUGCUAUUCAUAUGAUAUAACUGAGUUUAAUGUGAUAUAUCAUCAUCGCCAUGUUUUUUAUCGAUAUGUGUAUACCAUUGGAUACUCCAUUGAUAAUUUGGAGGGGGUUGACCCUGUCUCUUUUAGUUCUUGUUGUGAGUGUAUUUCAGGCAUAUCAUAGGUGCUUUGUCAGCUUGGAAAAGUCCAGAUUCGAGUUGACAUUCCUUGGGACCCUGGUGGAUAUGAGGUUUUGAGAUGGUGUAGCAAAGAGAGUUGUAUCACACUUGAAAUAAAAUGCUGAAGCAGAUGGGAUCGAGGGAAUCAAGAAGAGUUGUCGAAUUCAGAAGAUGAGUGGCUUGGUCUGAAGGGAAGGUGUAGUCUGAUAAAAAUAUAGUUCAAAUCAUCUAAAACACCAGGUGACUUGUUUCCAGUAUAUGAGAUCAUGUUUCUUCCAUUGCCUGCAACUUUUCUCAAACUGAUCACUGCUAUUCGUUAUUGGUCACAUCAUUGCUUUCUUGUUGAAGCUGUUCUUCUUUGAGAAUCACAUAACAUUGCUUUAACUUGUUGUUUUCUUACCGAAAAAAAAAGCUGCAUUAAUUUUUUUUGUGAUUGCUAUACUCCAGGAUCUUCAUAAUGAAAAGAUACAUCAACUUUCAGUUUAAACACAACAGCUAUUGGUGCAUGUUCUUAUUGCAGUAAUCUAAAGUAUACUUCAGAUUUGUUUUAUUUUCUGCUCUCAUUCCUAAUAAAUUAAGAUUCUGACAAAUCUGAAUGUCUCCUUAUGCUAGUUAGUCCUGUAUCGACUCAAUUGAUUAGUUGCUAAGUAGUAGCUAUGAUCCCGGGAUCUGUAGCUUGUGAAAACAGUGCUAUUGAUCAUAGGUUUCUUUACAAAAUCUUUUAUCCUGUUGCAAUUUGAGCUUUCAAUAAGUGGCUUGUCCACAAGUCUUUAAAUCUCUGAAUAAGUGGCUCAGCCACAGUGUUAUCCUUGCAAAUAAGUGACUAUGUCACAAUUUGUUUCAAUAAGUGGCAGUCCACAUUGCCUUGCUCUGUUUGAAUAAGUGACUCUGUCACAUCUUUAGUUUGGAAUAAGUGGUGCAAGCACCACAAUUUAUUGCAUUUCUUGUUUCGUUUUUAUUUUUGAAAAACCAUGAACCGUGACUCGUUACUGGACUGCUGUCAUAGUUUGAAUUCAGUUUGCAAAAUCUUCUUUAUUAGUUAGGGGAGCCUAAAAUAGUUUAAAUCUUCAGUAUACUUUGAGUACAAUAAUCAGAACAUACAGCUUUACCUGUUAAGUUUAAACUGAAGUUUCUUGGGUCCUUUUUAUUGUGACGGAAAUCCUAGUUGGAGUGAUUACAUACCUCGUUUCAUGCUGUUGUCUCAUUUGCGAUCUGUUUCCUCAUUUGCAUAUCUCUUUGCUUGAGGACAAGCAAAAGUUUAAGUGUGGGGGUGUGAUAAGCAUCAUAUUUGCACUAUUUUCUGGCCAUAAUUAUAUCUGAAAUCUUGUGUUUUGAACUCUGAAUUAUUCUAAAAUGCCAAGAAUUUAUACAAAUACUUGUAAUAUGUGGCAAAAAUUACAUUGUAGCUUUUCUUUUGCAGUUAAGUGCGAAAAGGCACAUACUCUUCUCAUUUUGGACGAGCUGCUGAUGCACCUAUACACCGAAGGACUUGAGCAUAAGGAAAGAGGAAAGAAAGGGCUGAAGUGAAGAAAAAAAAGACCAACUUGCAAAAGAAGAAGAAAGGAGAAGGGCCUGGAUGUAAAAAUGUCAAAGGGAUUAAACCCUAACUCCUGCUCUCGAUCCCCUUGAGCCUGGCACUUCCCCUUUCCCCUAUCUCCUGCUGCACCACCGGCCGCCGCCGCAGCCAGGCUAGCGUGGCGGUGCACCACCGAGCUAGCUGCAGCCCCUUCCCGAUAUCCACUACUGCUCAUCCUCCAUACCGCCUCUGCCAACAGCGGGCUGCACGAAUCCUCUCCAUCAACACCUGUUGCUCCCCACUCACCGAAGAAAUCAACAGCCAAGGAACGCGAGCACGACGACCACCUGCAACAUCCUCCCCUUCUCCAAGUGCUGCUGCCCUCUCCUUUGGUUAAAUCCCCACCGAACUCUCUCUCUCUCUCUCUCUCUCUCCUACUUGUUGCUUGCUGUUUGUGUGUAUAAGAACUAAGAAAAAACAUGCUGUUGAUCUUUGGAAAGUUAGUUGAGCCUUGCAUUGUGUUAAACUCUCUCUUUAGCUUCUGGCCGAUGUGUGCACUUAAUUAUUGUUCUAUGUUAUAAGACUCGUAACCUGUUUGUUCAUAUGUCAGGGAAGAUCUUUGAGUUGUUCUACUCUAAUAUUUGUGAAUGUGGCUGUGUGUAUACUUGUUGAUGUGUUUCGUGCAAUUUUCUAUCCCUAUCUAAAAACUUGCUUCUUCCCAGUCUUAUAUGUUUGCUAGUGAAAUUACUUUCUGUCAAUAUUGUUCUUUGUCUUUGCUUCUGCCCCUGUCUUUGAUGUAUGCUUGUCUUAGUGUUUUAGAUUCUAAAGUAAAUUGAAAAUACCAAAAAAAAAUAUUGGUGUCAUUCUGUACCUUGAAUCCCAUAAUUGUUUCUAUCCCUAUCUUGGAUCAUUGCUUGUGAUGUUUCGUGGUAGAUGAUCUUGUCUUGCUUUUGAGUGGGAAACCUUCUCUUUGUUUGUUUUAAAUUUCAAAAUCCUUUCUUGUGAUCUAGCUUUAACCGAACAUUGUUGUCGCUGCCUAGUCCCUGUGGAGAACAUCGACAAAAACUACUAUAUUUGCAUUGAUCAAUAUUGUUCCUCAAUCUCAUACUUUUUGUUGAAGCAUAAUGGUUCUUACUGUUUUUGUCUUCACUGCUACUGCUUUACUUGGUCAUCUUUCUUCUUUCCAUUGCAACUCUAAAAUUGCUAAGUAAUAUCUCUGUUGUUAAAGCACUGUGACUGUCUUCACUCUUCAUUCUUCAUUUUUGAUGAAAACUUAAAACUGGUCACAUUCCCCCCCCCCCCUCCUCUGUGACGUACUCGAUCUUUCACUUGGUUUCAGAGCAAGGUCUCCUUGUUUUGGUUUUACCACCUGAGGAAGAAGUAUGUCUAAGAAAGUGAAGUUACCUGUUCUUAGCAGUACAAAUUAUGCUUUUGGAAAAAUCGAAUUAAGACACACAUCAUAUCUACUGACCCUUGUGCUUGGGAAGCAGUCACAAACGGUUUUGUUGUUCCUCAGGGCCCCGUCUCUAGAUAUGACGCUAUUUCUCUGAAGAUCAGUAACCUUAUUGGUGCCAAGAAGAUUUGGGAUCUUCUCGCUGAAGUCCAUGAAGGGACAACCGUCAAAGAUUCUAGAGUUACUCGCCUCAUCAGUCAGUUUGACAGACUUGUGCUUGAGCCCAAUGAGACUGUUUGCUCACUCUAUGAUCGUAUGAGCACCAUUGUGAAUGAUCUGAAUACUCUUGAUGAUUACAAUAUCACUGACUUGAUGCAAAACAGAAGAUUUCUUCGAGCUCUUCCCAUGGAGUACACCAUUGUCUGUGAAUUGAUCAAGCAUCGGCCAGACUUCAAGGAGUUAACCCGUACCUGGGUGCUUGGAUGAAUUGUGUCCUAUGAGCUUGAUCAGGAAGAAAAGAAGAUGAUCCAUGGUCCUGGAUCCAGUUCGAAGAAGAACAUUGCUCUCAAGGCCAAGAAAUCAUCCAAGAAGAUCGUCGGCUCCAGUGCAGAAUCUGAAUACUCAUCUUCGUCUGAUGAAGAAUCCAACUCUAGUGAUGAGCUUGCUCUGUUUGUGAAGAGGUUCAAUAAGAAGUUUGGAAAAAAGUUUGGAAAUAAACUGAAGCAUCAAGGUGAAUCCAGCUCAUCCAAGUAUCGGAAAUCUGCUCAUCGGAAGAAAUCUAAUAUGGCCAAAAGAGCUUACUUCAACUGUGGCAAGAAAGGGCACUUCAUCACUGAAUGUCCUGAGAAAGCUGAUGAAGACAAGGAAAAGAAGGGAUUUAAGAAACAUCCUCACAAAAAGAGCCAUGACCGUCACAAGAAGAAGGAUUGGAAUAACGACUCUACUCACAAGAAGAAGGGGAACUAUUACUCUAGAGCACAUGUUGGUGAAUGGAACUCAGAUUCUUCAUCGUCUGAAUAAUCAUCUGAUUCUGAGUCUGAAGACGGCAUCGUCAGAUUGGUCAUAGCUAUUUCAUCUGCCAGAGAGAAGACUCCAUUGUUUGACUCUGCAGAUUCAUCAUCUGAAGAUGCCUCCGGAGACGAUCGCAACUCACCAUCAUGCUUCAUGGCAAAAUCCUCUAAGGUAUCAUCUCAUAGUGAAGUUGAAAUGAAUUCUAGUGAUAAUGAUGAAAUUGAUAAUGAAGAAUCUGAACCCAUGACAUAUGAAAGACUUCAGUUCAUUGUUGAGAAGCAAGAAUACUUGCUUAUCACUAAGAUCAAGAAGAACACUAACAUGGAUCAUGUCGCACCAGUGGCACCCGGGGUACCACCGCUGCAUGACGCGUGGGCCACCUCGCUUGCUCCUCGGAAGGACCGCACCCCGGGCAGCUCCGCGCAAGCUGCCCCGCAAGUCACCAGCCCGGCAGAGCUAGCCAGGCUGCGGGGGUUGCCUUGGAGGGCAGCAAGAGAAAUCCCGCCUGGGCGCUUCCUGAGAAGGUUACUUGCCGAGAAGGGUGUUCCCGGGCGCACGCGUCCUUUACAGGAGCGGGACCGAGCAAGCAGGACAGCGGCGCCACGGGGCUGCUCGGCGGACUCCCUGUGCGCAGGGUUCGUCAGGACGAAGAGUGUAGCACACGCGAGCAUUUAAUGCACCGACAAAAAGGGGAUUCCCCGUCCAGUCAGCCUACAGUGACUCGCCGUGGUGUAAUUUUUAGGCGCUUAGGCCCCUAGUUGCAGGGCUACUCUUUGUGCAGUUAAGCCAGCACACCGAGGGGGAGCUGGGCUAGCUCCCUGCUCGCCAUUUGUCACCCUUGCACCAUGGCACCUGUGGUAUCCCCUUCGGUAUAAAAGGAGGAUCCCCGCCAACGGUCAAAGGGUUUGGUUCAUUCGGAUCCACACUAGCUCCAGCCAGGAAAAGCAAAUAACACUUAGCUGAAAAGAGAGAGCACCCGGGGACUCCCCUCGGCAACCUGUAAACCCUUGUUCAUUGGUUAAUAGCAAAACACAGAAGCAGGACGUAGGGUCUUACGCCUCAGGGUGGCCCGAACCUGGGUAAACGAUCUCGUGUCUAUUGUGCUCCAACCCUUGGCAUUGGCCUCGCCAGCGAUCACCGGAGCGACCCCCGCCACCCACUGCCGAACCUAAAAGGGGGUGCCCCGCAUCCCCGGUGUCAAAGCACCGUGCUACGACAUCUUGCGCGCCAGGUAGGGGCCACGCAAGGAGAGCUCGCUGGUGACCGCCGGCGCCGUCGUCUACGGCAGCACCGGCCUCGUCUACUCCAACAACAGAGCCAGUCGCUAUGCCACCCAAGCGGGCUGGUGACUCUCGGAUCGACCCGCGUGAAGCCCCAGCGGCACACACGCGAUCGCACGACGCGCAACCCGCGUCGCGGGCUCAGGAGAACCCUGAGCCCUCUCAGGCGCAGCAGUCGCAGCUACCACCCCCGCCUCCUCGGCCGUCGGCGGACAACCGGCUGAGGGGGCCAGCGGCUCCCAGCGCCGAAGCCAAUCGCGCGAGCGGCCAUGAUGCCGCCCGCGCCAGCCGGCGAGUUGAAUCGCGGGCCGGAGACGCGCAGCGGCAGCUGUACCAAGAGCACCCUGCGUCACGAGCGACGCCGACGCGAUCGCACCCUACUCACCCGGGUGCGCCGGGGGAUAGGGCGGAUGGUAGCCGGUCGGAGAAUCGACUGCCCCCAGCCCAAACCCUGACAGAAGCCAUCAUUGUGCGGUAUGAGUCAUGGUGCGGUACGAGCCGCAGCAGGGCACGCCGGCACACCAGGCAUCGAGGGCGGAGUUGGACGCGCUCCUCGCACUCGCCGCCACGUAGCCGCAGGGCGGGGGCGCCCCGGCUGGCUCAGGCCGCGGGCAAAACCCGGGGUGCGAAGACAUACCCCGCGUCUUGGGGCAGGGGGAAAACCCUCCCCUGCAGGGAGGGCAAGGAGGCGGGGAUCCUGAGGGGUCCUCGGAUUCGUCACCAACCGUCACACGGGGUAACUCGCGGGGCGUCUUGAACGCCCGCCAACAGGAGGACCUCCGCCGGUGCCUGGAGCGCCCGCGCCCGGAGAAGCAGGAGGAUGCUCCCAUGGGCGCCGAGGACGGCUGCACCGCAUUCACCCGCGAGCUGCGCCGGGUGACAUGGCCCUGCAAGCGCCGAGCGCCGGCGCUUGGGACGUACGACGGGACCGUGAACCCGAAGGAUUUCCUCCUGACCUACACGUUGGGGAUGCACGCCAUCCGUGCCGACGACAAGGUCAAGGCUAACUGGUUCCCAAUGGUCCUCAAGGGAUCAGCGAGAACGUGGCUGCUCAACCUGCCUGCCGAGUCCAUAGCCACUUGGCCGGACCUGCGCGAGCAGUUCGUGAGCGCGUUCAGGGCGGCUACAAGCGCUCAGGAACCAUGGCGGAGCUGCACACCGUGGUGCAGAAGCCGGGAGAGACGCUGCGGAGCUUCGUCAACCGCUUCUCCAGCCUCUCCUACUCCAUCCUGGAGGCGGAGGCUGCCGCCAUCGUCAACACCUGCGCCAACAACGUCCGCGACCUCAAGAUGCAGGAGAAGCUGAGCAUGCAUCGGAUCCGGACGACGCAGGAUCCCUAUGCCCUGGCGCACAAGUGUGCCAUGGUCGAGGAAGGGCGCUUGGUGCCUGAGCUUGCAGCUAAGGCUGCCGCGUGCCCAGCUGUAGGCUCGCAGAAGAAGGGCUCCCGCAAGCGCAACGGGAAGCAAGUCCUCGCCGCGGAGUCGGGGGCUACCGCGAGGCCUGCGAAAAAGGCCUCGCCCGGUGGAGGGUCUGGCGGCAAGCUGGGUGACGCGGUGCGAGAAGCGCCACGAGGAGCGCCAAGCGGCCGGCGCCUGCUUCAACUGCGGUGACAUCGGGCACCUCUCCCGGGAUUGCCCAAAUGAACCCAGAGCGGGGCCGAAGCCUGCUGGUGGGGGCGCCGGCAGGGAGGAAGCCCAGGGAGGACGCGGCCAGGCCCAUGCAGGCAGGGAGCGCCCUCCCCAGGGAUGAGACAAGGCUUGCGCUGAGGAGCAGCGUGAGUCCGAUUGCAGCGCGGGCAACGAGCCCGGCUUUCGGGAGCCCCGCGGCAUCUCCUGCAUCCAUGGGGGAGCUUACGCUCUCUCAUCCCACGCCGCGGUGAAGCACCUCACCCGGGAGGUGUGUGCGUUGUUGCCGGACACGGAGGCGCAGCAGCCGCUUAAGUGGUCGCACGUGCCUAUAACCUUCAGCGCUGAUGAUCACCCAGCCUGACAGCUGGGUUCAGGGGUUCUACCCUUUGUGGUCUCGCCGAUCAUCAACAACGUGACGGUGACCAAGGUGCUGGUGGACAACGGAGCGGGGCUGAACCUCCUGUCCGCCAGGUUAAUGGAAAAACUUCAGCUGCCGCAUCACACUGGGGCACAUCAGUGAACCUCGGGAUCAUGCGCCCCCUUGGGCGCAUCACGCUGCCGGUUACCUUCAGGUUCCGGGAAGCGUUCAGGACCGAGCACCUGGUGUUCGAUGUGGCGCACACCCCGUUGCCAUACAACGGGAUCCUUGGUUGGCCGGCUCUGAUCAAGUUCAUGGCGGCGACUCAUUGGCCUACGGCGUGAUGAAGAUGCCGUCCAUGUAUGGCGUCCUCUCCGUCAGGUGCGACCUCAAGGACGCAGCCUGGUGCGUCGGCGAGGUCGUCAAGGCCGCCGCCGCAGCCGACUCCGGUGCCGAGGAAGUUGCCGGGAGUGAAGGCUCGCUGCCGGGUGACGGCCCCGUGGUGAAGAAGGCCUGUGCUACCCCGCAAGAGCUUGCCGGGGGAGGCGCAGGCUCGAGCUCGCGCCCCGGCAAGGGCUAGAAGCUCCAGGAGGAGGCCGCCAAGGUGAGGAAGCUGCCCCUCCAAGCCGGCAAUGAGGAGCGCACCGUCACCGUUAGUGCAAACCUCACUACCGAAUAGGAAACCGCCCUCAUCACUUUCCUUCGGGAGAACGCCGAUGUGUUCUCUUGGGAACCGCCGGACCUUCCUAGAGUCCCUAGGGAGGUGAUUGAGCAUCGACUCACGGUGCGUUCGGACGCCCGCCCCGUCAAGCAGAAGAUCCGCCGGCAAGCACAGGAGCGCAAAGAUUUCAUCAAGCAAGAAGUGGACAAGUUUAAAACUGCGGGAGCCAUCAGGGAAGUACUGUACCCUUCUUGGUUAGCUAAUCCUGUGGUAGUACCCAAGGGGGAGAAUAACUUCGCAUGUGUGUGGAUUUUACUGAUCUAAACCGUGCCUGCCCGAAAGAUCCAUUCCCUGUACCACGCAUUAAUCAAAUAGUAGAUUCCACUGCCGGUUGCAAUUUGCUGUGUUUUUGGAUGCAUUUUCCGGCUACCAUCAAAUUAAGAUGGCAGUCGAAGACGAGGAGAAAACAGCGUUCAUCACCCCGGUUGGCUGCUACUGUUACACGUGCAUGCCGUUCGGGUUGAAGAACGCGGGCUCAACAUUCCAGCGUGCGUUGCGCGAGUGUUUGGGACCCUAGCUAGGCCGAAACGUAUAGGCCUAUAUGGACGAUAUCGUCAUCAAAUCAAAGCGCGGGGACUCGCUGAUUGAAGACCUGCGGGAGACGUUUGAUAACCUCCGUAGGAUCAAGCUCAAGUUGAACCCUGAGAAAUGCAUCUUUGGUCUGGACUCGGGUCAGCUUCCGGGUUUCUUUGUUUCGCAUAGGGGGAUUCAAGCCAAUCCAAAGAAGAUAGAGGCUAUCGAGAAAAUGGAGGCUCCCCGCAAGGUGAAGGACGUUCAGCGCCUCAACGGCUGCGUUGCCGCGUUGGGGCGCUUCAUCUCGAGGCGGGGCGUGCGCGCCCUACCCUUCUUCAAGGUGAUGAAGAAGAAGGGACCGAUCGAUUGAACCCCCGAGGCUAAGGUGGCGUUCCAGGAUCUCAAGCAGUACCUGAAGUCGCCGCACAUCCUCAUCUCCCCCAAGCCGGGCGAGCCGCUGCUACUCUACCUAGCGGCGACUGACCAAGUGGUAAGCUCGGUGCUGGUUGCUGAGAGGGAAGAAGACCACCCGGGGAUGAGGUUGCGGGGCAGGGGGCUGAGCGGCCCCCGGCAACCGCCUCGGACCCGGGGAUCGCCAUCGAGCCCGCGGCGUCAGCACCACGCAAGCAGCUCGGGCAGCACCCUGUGUACUUCGUCAGCACGGUGCUGUGUGACGCCCGCACGCGGUACCCGCAAGUGCGGAAGCUAUUGCUGGGGAUUCUGCUUGCAUCACGCAAGCUGCGCCAUUACUUCCAGGCUGUCGGGGUUCUGCCUCGAGCGGGCCCUCACCAACCGUGACGCCACUAGGAGUGUGGCCGAGUGGAGGAUGGAGUUGUCGGAGUUUGAUCUGCACUUCACCAACACCAAAAUCAUCAAGACCGCCGCUCUAGCGGAUUUCGUUGCAGAGUGGACUUCGACGGGCAUAGAAGAAGAGGAGCCGGAGACCAGCCUGCCCGGCAAGCUGGACGAAGGCCACUGGGUCCUGUACUUCGACGGUGCGUUCAGCCUGCAGGGGGCUGGCGCCGGGGUCGUCAUCGAGUCGCCCACGGGUGAUCAGCUGAAGUUCACCAUCCAGCUCAACUUCCCCAACACCACCAACAACACGCUCGAGUAUGAAGAGUUGCUCGCCGGGUUGCGGGCGGCGGUCGCCCUGGAUAUCAAGCGCCCGGUUGUUCGCGGGGACUCCCAACUCAUGAUCAACCAGGUUAACAAGGACAAUGACUGCCCAAAGAUGGCGGCGUACGUGGAUGAGGUCCGCAAGCUGGAACGCAAGAGGUUCGGGCCACCCGGAGGUGUAAAACCCUACGUCCUACUUGUCUGGGCUGAUAUUGAUUGUGGAUCAAGCGUUUACAAGUUGCCGGGCAAGUUCCCGGGCUUUCUCUACUAUUCUUUGCUAGUGCUCCAAGCUAACUCAACUCGCGCGGAACCUAGACUCUAACCCUUCUGAACCUCCCAACUCAACUCACGCAGAACCCAACCCCCCAACCGCUGGCAUGGGUCCUCCUUUUAUACUCAAGGAGAUGCCACAGGUGCCAUGGUGCAUGAGCUACAAGUGUCCAGCGGGGGGCACACAACUCCCCCCGGUGAGCUGGUGGCGUGCAUCGAUGCCACCUCCGCUGCUAGGGGUCUAAAACCCUAGGGUAGGAUUGGACAGCCAUUGUUCCUUCGAUCGGAUGGGUAACGACCCGUCGGUCGGCUUGUUUACUGAGCCGUGCGCCUUACUCCUUGCUCUGGUGGGACCGCGCAUCCCACGCCCGCCACGCGGCUCGCGUGGCGCUGUUGAUCUGGCCACUGGGCCCCGCGCCUGGGGCGGGGGCAGGUGCCCGGGAACCCCCUGUCUCGGCAAAUCGACCUCGGGAAGCACCUGGACCCAACGCACCCGGGAAGCCGCUUCCCGGGAGGUGCCCAAGCGAGAAUGUUCCCCGAAGCCCCGAUAGCCCCUUCUGGGCGGGUGCCACUAGUGCGACAGUAGCCCCCAGGCAUCGGCCGACAUCACCUGUUCUCGGAAGGCUCUCCCCCUGGUCGGUUGCCGGGCUACGCCCUUAACCGACGCGUGGGCCCCGAUCAGUCGCGGGCUCGCAUCCCUUCGCUGCCCCGUGUACGGCGCCGUUACAAGCGGAGCAGUGGACCUGUGAUUUCCGCCCUAACUCCCCCCUUAAAUAGGGAAGUUAAGGCCACUCCGCGCAUUACUCCCAGUGAUUAGGAGUUAUCCCCGCACACCCGUAGGGUACGGAACCGGCCGUUACCAAACGGCCGGGUGUCAAAAAGCCACCACUGUUGCCAAAAGGGGAACAAUACUCUGCCCCCAUCGCCUUCGCCUCCAUCCCCUUCCGCAUCUCGCAUCCCUGCGCUCCUGUUAGCUUCCGCCCUCGCUUUCCAUGGCGCCCCCCACCACCAGAAAAGGGAAGGACGUCCAGGUCUCGAAGAGGGCUGCGACGAGCACGGGGAGACGCGGAUCUUCCCGUCAGGUGCUGAACACUAGGACAACGACUUCCGGGUGUUUGCGCGCUUCCUCCUCUGCGGCAUGGUGCCGCCCUUCUCCCUAUUCCUCCACGCACUGAUGGAGUCCUACCAGCUGCGGGUGGUGCAACUCCACCCCACCUCCUUGUUCCUCCUCGCCACCUUCCAAUUCCUUUGUGAGGCGUUCGUGGGGGUGAUGCCGUUGGUGGGGCUCUUCCGCCACUACUUCUACCCGCGUAUCGACAAUGCGAAGGCGAUGUCGUCGGGGGCGGUCUUCCGCACCCGCGACCAGAUGAGGUCCGAGUUCAUCGUCCGGUCAUGGAAGAAGAUUGAAAAAGAGUGGCGGAGCGACUGGUGCUGGGUCCGAGUGGAGGACCCCAGGAGUUCAUCCAACCGCCGAUGGAGCUGCCGCAACCCCAGAACGGCUGGCAGGAUAGGUACCACCGCGACGCCGGCAUCCUCCCCAUCAUGGAGAAGAUCAAGGCGCUGCGGCUAGCGGGGCUCACCGAUGUGGACGUGGCACGCCCCUUCGUCCGUCGGCGCAUAGCCCCGCUGCACUACGCUCCCGGCCCGCGUGGAUGUACACAGGCCCCGGGGACAGGACAUGCCUCCAGGAGGACGGCGUGGACUUGGAGACCCUCAGGACAUGGGUGAGGGGGAUCUCCGGCGAGAUCUUCCAAUCAACGAAGUUCCCGCCGGGGGUUUCCUCUCUUCACGCCGGCGUCAAGGCGCUCAGCGACAUCGUCGGCGCCUUCCCGCCCUACAAGUGGGGGUUGAUGGACGACACCCCCACACGGGUCCCGCACGCUCCCCCACAAGCACCCCGCGAGAAGCAGGUGGUCGAGGAGAGCGGGGGCGGAUCCGAGCCCAGCUGGCUCUCCCUCCAGUCGCUGGACGACGAGGCGGGCCGGGGGCUGCGUCCCCGGAGGGGGUUGCCGUGGACGACGACGACGAAAGCAGCGACAGCGCGCCCCUGAUCGUGAGGAGAUCGAGGGCGCUUGCAGCGGCCGCACCCUCUCCUCGACGGCAACGUCCGCCCCGGCAGUGGCCCCCACCCUUGCGGCGGCCGCCGCUUCAGGGACGCCCGUUGACACCUCGACAGCAUCUGCGGCAACAAGGGCCGCAGGGGUCUCGGCGGCGGCCUCCGCCUCAGCGACAGCCGCGAGUGUUGCGGUGGCAACCAGUCUCGGGGUGCCCGCCGGGACUCCGGCAGCGCCAGCGCCUGCAGGGGUCGCCGGUGCCUCGGCAACGGCCUUCGCCCCAGUAGCGGGGGCCUUCACGAGUUCUGCAUCUGGCGUCGUCGCGGCCUCGCCGUCGACACCCGGAGCUCUCCGGGUCACCACGACUCCGCGGGCGCCCACGGCGCCACCUGCUCAGGGGGUCUUCCGGGGCUUCGCGCUCCAGCGUAACCCAAGAAAUCCUCCUCGCCGGCGGGUGCCAGCAAGAGGGCGAGGAGCGAUUCCCCGCCCUGUACGCCCAGCAAGAGGACGUGCGCCGGUGCCCGCGGCGCCGCCGACCCCACCGCCGCAGGAGUCGGCCGCGACACGAGCAUGCCCCUUGGCGACCCAGCCCUCACGGAGGCAGGGCCGGCAGCCGGUAUGUCUUCGUCACUCUUCUGCAAUUGCAAUUUUUGUUAGCCAAACUCAUGAACAUACCCCCCUUUUUUUCUGCAGUGAGCGGCAGCAAGCCUCUUAGACGCUCCCGCCGGCACAAGCGAGGCAGGGGAGGUUUCCACGGCAAGCCCGGCGGCCGCGCAAGGUAACCACCCUGAUUACCCUUGUCCGUCUUUGAAGGCUCCGUUAAUCGCCGAUCCUUAUGCUUCUCAUUGUUGCAGGCACAAGUGCGCCCAUGCCCGGAACGGGCGCAACCGCGGCCGAUCUUGACCCGGUCGUCGAGGCUGUGGGGGUGGAGGUGGAGCCGGAACUGGCUCUUACGUCCAGUCCCGCUGCGGCGGACACAGCGGCAGCGGUGGACAUCGCCGCCGCCGUGACUGCGUCCGGCGACGCGCCCGUAGCUGCGGGCGCGACCGACGCAGGCUCUCCCGUCGCCCAGCAGGGGACGGCCCCCGCCGGGAGCAGGGAAGCUUCUCCAACCCCGGGGUCCCUGGGCGCAGGCGCAAGGGAAGUUGCUGGGGAAGGACAGCAAGACCCCCGGGAGCAGGCUGGCGACCCUGAGCACAGCCCCGCAUCAGCAGCAGGGGCUUCACCGUCCUCGGUAGCUCUCCCCGGUACUGACCUCGGCACCCUCGCCGGGGUCGCUUGGAACCCCCUUACAUGGGAUCCGAGCAUCUUCGAGCGGGGGCACGGGUUCCUGGACGCCGUCAGGGACCAGCAACUGGCCUUCGUCACCUCCUUCAACGAGGUGAGGGAGCACCACACCGCUGCCAAAAAUCAGCUCGGCAAGGUGCGGGAGGCCGUGGAGAGAGAACGGCGUGAACUGUCCCGGCUACGCGAGGAGAUGCGCCUCGCGGAAGAGGAGGCGCGACUGGCCCGGCAAGCCCUGGAGGACGCCCGGGAGCCGGUGGUCCCGGAGACCGAACUCCAUCGACAACUGGAGGCCCAGCGCGUGGAGCUUCAAGGGAAGCUCGACUCGAUGGCGGUCACCCUUGAGGCAACCAGGAAGGAACACGCCGAGGUGGUCGCGGCGGCCCAGGCCUAGCUGGACGAGAAGAGCGUCCUGAUCGCCAACUACCGCGGCGAAAUCCAAGGCCUCCGCGUCAUGCGGGAGGUGCAGGUCAAGGCCACCGAGGACGUGGCAAGAGCGGCGGCUCGGCACGAGGCCGAACUCACCUCUGCCAAGGACAGAGCUGCCAGGCUUGAGACCGAGCUAGCCGCCGUCCGGGAGGAGCUCGUCAAGGCAGGCGAGGACAAUGUGGCCAAGGCCGCAGAGCUCGAGAAGCUGGCGGGCCGCCUCAGCAAGGCUAAGAAGGCUGCGCACGACGCUUGACUCCAUCACGGCACGCUGAUCGGGCAGCGGCAGAUCGAGACGGAGAAGCUGAUGAAGAUCGCCCUGUCGCUGCGCGACCUGCUGCCCAAGUUCGAGCUGCAGGCGGCGGAGGUGGACGGGACAGACGUCACGACGCUGAUCCCCUUCUUCUCCGUCCUGGUGGGGAAGCUUGGGGCGCUUGACGUCUGGAUCGCCCGGUACGGCGCCAACGAAGUCGCCAACUGCGCUCGGGAGGUUGCCGGGACAAUCCUCCCGUGGAUUCAUCCCGGGACCCGGAGUUUCCCUUCGAGUCCCUGCUGGACGCUUGGUCCGACAGCGAGGACGAGCCCACGCCCACCCAAGCAGUGCGUGAGUUCGUCGAUGAGGUCGUCGAGUGGAUGCAGAUGAAGCCGGAGCAUGAUCUCCCCGCCGACCCCCCGGCCGAAGACGGCGACAACUAGUUGCCACAGCCCCCAGUCGAGCUCGUUGCUCCCAAUGUAGCUCCUCUAGUUCUCUUUCCACAAGUAUGGCGCUUAGCGCCGUUUGAACAAUCACCUUUUGAUUAGUCUAUGCAAUCAUUCAGCACUCGGUCAAUCAAGCUUUUUAAUUUGCUCAAUUUUUGUUCCUUGUUUCCGGAGCUGCCUCGCGGGGCAGUUCCCUUAGCCUUUGCGUGUCAUGCCUUGUGUUGCCGGGGACUCGCACGUCCCACCCUUGACCAGACCAGGGACCCGGGACGGACCCGCAGUGCCGACCUGGGGUCAAGCGGUAGUCGGCGAGCCACUCCACUUGCGGGGUAACUACUCCAAGCCAUGCCCUCCCGAGACGGACCCGGAAACCAUACGGGGAGCGCACUCCCCCCACAAGCGUCCUCCUCACACCCCGGCCACACGCGGGUUCCGGGGCCACACUUGGCGAAGCAGCGUCCAAUUCUCAGUCAAUUAAGUUUUUCGACAUGUUCGUUGUUCCUGGUGCUGUCUAGCGGGGUGGCCCUUUUAGCCUUUGCGUAUUUUGCCUUGUGUUGCGGGGGACUCGCGCGCCUCACCCUUGACCAGACCAGGGACCCGGGAUGGACCCGCGGUGCCGACCUGGGGCCAAGCAGGAGCGAGGAGUCACACCACUUGCGGGGUAACUACUCCAAGCCGUGCCCCUCUGGGACGGACCCGCGAGGCCACAUGGGGAGCGCACUCCCCCCGCAAGUGUCCUUUUAACACUCCGGCUACGCACGGGAUCUGGGGCCACACCCAACGGGACAGAGCUCAAUUUCGUUCAGUUCUUAGCGAGUUCAGCGUUCAUGUUCAGACACUUAGCUUUUCCGUUCGGUCCAAUGCCUCGUGACGCUCGGCGGUAAAGUACAGCUGGGGCACUGCGUUGGUAGGACCCCACCUUGGGUACCUGUUCAAGGGAAACGGUUUCUGAGGGGUGCGGCAGGAGCGCAGGGGCAGGACCGCCGCCCGCGGCAACUGCCGACGACGAUGCUACCACCACGCUCACGUGGUAACCCUCGCCUUCAGGGACGAACCCUAGCUUAGGAGGACUCCACCCCGGGAGCAGCCGCAAGACGGCUAUAACGUUCUCGCCACCAGCUGCGCCCCACCACGAACGGCGGGCACGGGUGGCGAGGAAGUUAUAGCCUCCCGGCGACAGCCCCCGCAACCGGGGAGACCUGGUUUUUUCUGGGGAGCUCGUCCCAAUGGAUGUGACAGCCCUUGCUGCCCGGGAGCAAAACUGCUCGAGGGCCGUGGCAGGGACGCGGUGAUGGGCCGGAACGGGCGGCAGGCGCCGGCACCGGCGCCCUCACAGCGUCCUCGCAACGACCCGCGCCCGAAAAAGGCUCUCUCAAGGGGAAUGCGGUUGGGUCUCUAUGAUAAUGCACCCGUCAGCACAAGGCAUGGAUGGCAUGCACUAUCAUAGAGUCUCCGCAGCAGCCCCUGCUCCUUGCGGAGGUGUCUUAUGGAGGGGCGCGGCAGGGGUACUGCAGCAAUGCACCCCGUCAGUGCCGGGCACUGAUGGGAUGCACCACCACAGUGCCUCCGCGGCGACCCUCGCCCAGGAGCCACCCAUUUGAGGGGCGGGCUCGAUGGGGUCAUGCGGCAGGGGCGCGAUGGCAACGCACCCGUCGGCGCUGCACCACCAUCGUGCCUCCAUGGCACCACCCGCCUUAACAGCCCCGGAUCCAGGUUCGCUCUGAGCCGUUCCAUGUUUGAGGCGCGCCUUUUAUAGGCGCGGGAGGGGGGUUUGCCACCGCGCACAACGGGCCCGCGUAGCACCCGUGGCACCCCUUCUUUGAAACGCGGUACAACCUCCGCCGUCGUGCACACUUGGCAACCGUGGCACACGUGGCGGUGCCCUCCCGAGUCAGAAGCCUCGGAGUGCGGUGAGCCUCUUGUGCUGCGGUCAUCCCGCACCACAAGGCACCGGUGGAUGGUGCGACCCAUGGGCAGCCCACGGGCACCACAGUGCAAAAGAUUCCAUCCUUUCCUACAGGUUAGAUUCUUACCAGGCUUGAGGUGCUGCAAAAAUUUUCAAAAUUUACGAAAAUAUACAAAGCAACACAAAGAAAACUCCUCCUGCCUCCCAGCCCCCGGGCACAAAGGGGCCGAUACCAGACUUGGAUGUGAGCAUUUUCUUUCCUAGGCGCAAUGACUGCGCGGUGCACGUUGCGGGGAGCCUGGCAACGGCACAUCCAGUGAUGCGCGUUGCGGGGAGCCCGGCAACCGCAUGUCCAGUGAUGCAUGUUGCGGGAAGCCUGGCAACUACAUGUCCCGUGCCGGAACGAUCCGGCAACGGGUUUAUGUUUUCGAGGCUCCAACAGCCCCCUGCUCACAACCAAGUAUGGAAAGACACCUUUGUGCACUUACAACAGGAGACAGAAGAGGGAGGAACAUGCGAAUAAACAAGGCAAAUUCAAAGCUCAGGGGCGAGACACUUAUCUUUAUUCACAAUAACUAAUGGUUUACACACGGGGGCUGCCUGGCUACACUAGUUCGAGAGGUAUGCACCAGCGGCAUCACCUGAGGGUCGGGCUCCGCCGCUUCACGGGUAGAACUUGCGCAAGUGCUCAAUAUUCCAACUAUUGGGCACCGGCAAGCCGUCUUCGGUUUCCAGGCGGACAGCCCCCGGCCUGGUCACCUGCACAACCCAGAAGGGGCCUUCCCAUUUCGGAGUCAACUUGUUCCCGGCCUUCGUUCCUUGUAUCCGGCACAGGAUAAGGUCUCCGUUCUCGAGCCCCCGGGGACAGACUCGCCUGUCCUGAUAACAAUGGAGUCCCUGCUGGUAGCGCGCGGCUCGCACAGCAGCCCGGCAUCGAAGCUCUUCGAUGAAGUUUAGAUCAUCGACCCUUUGCUCGUGUUGGCUGGUGUCACCGUACGCGUGUACUCGGGGAGAUCCGUGCUUGAGCCCGUUGCCCAACUAGGUGUUUCGCCCGUUGCCCGACUAGGUGUGGUCAGGAUGGACCACAGCACAGGCUGGAGUUCUUCGACCCAGUGUUUUCCGUGCCCUUUGAGCUUGUCAAAGGUUCUCGUCUUGAGCCCCCGCAGCACCUCUACGUUGGCUCGCUCCGCCUGUCCGUUACUCCUCGGGGGAGCAACGGACACGAAGCGCAGCUUAGUGCCCAUGUCCUCGCAAUAGGCUUGAAACGCCGCGCUCGUGAAUUGCGUGCCGUUGUCGGUGAUGAUGCUGUUAGGCACACCAAACCGGCACACAAUGCCUCUGAAGAACUUGAUGGCCGCCUAGGCGGUCACCUUCCGCACUAGUUCCACCUCCACCCACUUGGAGAACUUGUCGAUGACCACGAACAAAUAUUCGUAACCGCCAACCGCCCCUGGUAGCCUGCCGACGAUGCCGAGCCCCCAGACCGCAAACGGCCAUGAGGACGGGAUGACAUGCAGGGCCUGCACCGGUUGGUUGCUCUUCUUUGGGUGGAACUGGCACGCCUCGCACAUCUUCACAAGUCGUUCCGCAUCGGCCAGUAGAAACCGUGCCAGAACGCCUUACCGGCUAGAGCCCGAAAGGCCACAUGGUGUGAACAUGUGCCUCGAUGUAUGUCUUCCAACAGUGCGCACCCCUCUUCCUGUGGCACGCAGGUAAACUUGACACCGUUCGCACGCCUGCGGUAGAGGUUACCAUCUACCACAGUGUACAUCUUGGCUUGCCGCGGUACACGCUCCGCGGCGACGUCAUCUUCCGGGAGAGCCUCCCCUUUCAAGUAGCGAGCGAUUUCUUCCGCCCAGGGGGGAAUCUCCCUGCCAACGCAUGCCGCCAUAUCAGCGACAUGGACCCCCGCUGCUGCAGGGGUUCCCUCAGUUGCCGAAGGGGCACCCCCGGCAGCCGGCUGGGGGGCGACUGAAGGAGCCACUUGCUUCUGACAGAACACCCCCGCCGGAGGCUUCCAGCGCUCUGCUGCCGCCUUGGCCAGCACGUCAGCAGCGAAGUUAUCCUUCCGCUUGACGUGCUUGAAGCGCAAACCUUUGAACUUUCGUUCUAGCUUGCGGACCUCCUCUACGUACGACGCCAUUUGAGGGCAGCCAUAGUCCUUGUUCACCUGGUCGAUCACGAGCUGGGAAUCGCCGCGAACAACCAGGCGCUUAAUGUCGAGGGCGACCGCUGCCCGCAACCUGGCAAGCAGGCCCUCGUACUCCACCGUGUUGUUGGUGUAGUUAGCGAAGUCGAGUUGAACAGCAAACCUCAACUGGUCCCCUGUUGGUGACUCGAUGACGACCCCAACGCCUACUCGCUGAAGACUGAACGCACCGUCGAAGUAAAGGACCCAGUGGUCCUCGUCCAGCUUGCCGGGCAGGCUGAUCUCCGGCUCACUUUCUUCUACGCCCGUGGACGUCCAUUCCGCGACGAAGUCCGCCAGGGCCGUGCUCUUAAUGCUUUUGGAGUUGGUGAAGUGGAGGUCGAACUCCGACAACUCCAUCCUCCAUUCGGCCACCCUCCUGGUGGCUUCACGGUUGGUGAGGGCUCGCUCGAGGCAGAACCCAGACACCACCGUGACGCGGUGCGCCUGGAAGUAGUGGCGCAGCUUGCGGGACGCAAGGAGAAUCCCUAGAAGGAGCUUCUGUAUUUGCGGGUACCUUGUCCGCGCGUCGCGAAGCACCGUACUAAUGAAGUACACCGGGUGCUGCAUCAACCGCUUCCGCGGUGCCGAGGUUGCCGACUCGGGGGCGGUCUCCGGGUCUGAGGCGGUUGCCGGGGGCCGCUCAGCCCCCUGCCUCGCGGCCCCAGUCCCUGGGACGUCUUCCUCUCUCUCGGCAACUAGCACCGAGCUGACCACCUAGUCAGUCGCCGCUAGGUAGAGUAGCCGCGGCUCGCCCAGCUUGGGGGCGACGAGGAUGGGCGGCGACCUCAGGUACUGCUUGAGUUCCUAGAACGCCGCCUCGGCCUCGGGAGUCCAGUCGACUGGACCCUUCUUCUUCAUUACUCUGAAGAAAGGCAGGGCACGCUCGCCCAGCCUAGAGAUGAAACGCCCCAGCGCGGCAACACAGCCGUUGAGGCGCUGGACAUCUUUCACCUUGCGGGGGGCCUCCAUCUUCUCGAUGGCUUCUAUCUUGGUCGGGUUGGCCUGUAUCCCUCUGUGUGAAACCAAGAAACCCAGAAGCUGCCUGGAAUUGACACCGAAGGUGCACCUAUCGAGGUUCAGCUUGAGCUUGAUCCUGCGGAGGUUGUCGAACGUCUCCCGCAGGUCAUCAAUUAGCGAGUCCCCACGCUUCGAUUUGAUGACGAUGUCGUCCAUGUAGGCCUCCACGUUGCAGCCUAGCUGGGGCCCCAAACAUUCGCGCAGGGUGCGCUAGAAUGUGGAGCCCGCGUUCUUCAACCUGAAAGGCAUGCAUGUAUAACAAUAACAGCCAACCUGGGUGAUAAACGUUGUCUUUUCCUCAUCCUCGACCGCCAUCUUGGUUUGAUGGUAGCCGGAGAAAGCAUCCAGAAAGCUCAGCAAGUCACAACCAGCGGUAGAAUAAAUUAUCUGAUCGAUACGGGGUACAGGGAAGGGAUCCUUGGGGCAUGUGCGAUUAAGAUCGGUAAAAUCUACACACAUCCGAAGCUUAUUCCCUGCUACAGGGUUAGCCAGCCAAGUGGGGUACAGAACUUCCCUGAUUGCCCCGGCAGCCUUAAGCUUGUCACCCUGCUUCCCGCCAGACUCUCCACCCGGCAAGGCCUUCUUCGCGGGCCUCGCGACAAGAGCCCCUGAGUCCGCAGCGAGGACUUGUUUCCUGCUGCGCUUGCGGGAACCCUUCUUUUGCGAGCCCUCGCCAGGGCUGCCAGCUCGGGCGCUAGGCGCCCUUCCUCGGCCAUGGCGCAUUUGUGCGCCAGGGCGUACAAGCCCUGCGUCGUCCGGAUCCGAUGCGUGCUCAGCUUCUCGCGCAUCUUGGCAUCGCGGACGUUGAUGAGAAAAGUGUUGAUUAUGGCGGCCGCCUCCGCCUCUGGGAUGGAGUAGAAGAGGUUGGAGAAGCGGUUGACAAAGGCCCGCAACGUCUCUCCCGGUUUCUGCACGAUAGUGUGCAGCUCCGCCAUGGUUCCCGGGCGCUUAUAGCCGCCCUGGAACGCGCUCACGAACUGCUCGCGCAGGUCCGCCCAAGUGGCGAUGGACCCGGCAACCAGGUUCGCGCUGAUCCUUUCAGGACCAUCGGGAACCAGUUCGCCCUGACCUUGUCGUCAGCGCCGAUGGCAUGCAUGCCCAACGUGUAGGUCAGGAGGAAAUCCUUGGGGUUAGCGGUCCCGUCGUACGUACCGAGCGCGGGCGCCCGGAACUUACGGGGCCACGUCACCCGCCGCAGCUCGCGCGUGAACGCGGUGCAGCCGUCCUUGGGGCCCAGGGGAGCGUCUUCCUGCUCCUGUGGGUGCGGGCGCUCUACCUCGCGCCUGCGCCGGCGCUCCAAGCGUUGGCGCAAAUCCUCCUGCUGGCGGGCAUUCAAGAUGCCGCGCGCAUCGCCCCCCGGAAUGGUGGGCGACGAGUUUGAGGACCCCUCUGGGCCCCCGUCUCCUUGGCCUCCCUGAGAAGGGGGAGGGUUCUCCCCCUGUCGUGAGGCGGGUGGCGCGUCUCCGCGCUCCGGGUUCUGCCCGUGGCCGGAGCCUACCGGCGCGCCCGCGCCUUGCGGCUGCUGGGCGGCUAGGGCGAGAAGCAGUUCCAGCUACUCGCCCCACGUCUCAUGCGCCGGCGUGCUCUGCUGCGGCUCGUACCGCACCAUGACGUGCAUGGCGAUGAUGGCUUCUGCCGGGGACAGCCACUGUUCCUUCGAUCGGACGGGUAACGACCCGUCGGUCAGCUCGUUUACUGAGCCAUGCGCCUUACUCCUUGCUCUGGUGGGACCGUGCAUCCCACGCCCGCCACGUGGCCUCGCGUGUCGCGCAGCGGUGGUACCCCGGGUGCCACGGGUGCGACACGAGGCGUGUCAGUUCCACGCGAAGAAGAGCAACCAGCCGGCGCAGGCCUUGCAAGUGAUCACAUCUUCCUGGCCGUUCGCGGUCUGGGGGCUGGACAUCGUCGGCAAGUUACCAAGGGUGGUUGGCGGCUACGAGUACUUGCUCAUGGCUAUCGACAAGUUCUCCAAGUGGGUGGAAGUGGAGCCAGUGCGGAAGGUGACCGCUCAAGCCACCAUCAAGUUCUUCAAAGGCAUCGUGUGCCGGUUUGGUGUGCCUAACGGCAUUAUCACCGACAACGGCACACAGUUCACGAGCGUCGUGUUCCAAGCCUACUGCGAGGACAUGGGCACCAAGAUCCACUUUGCUUAUGUUCCUCACCCGAGGAGCAACGGACAGGCGGAGCGAGCCAACGCAGAAGUGCUGCGGGGGCUGAAGACAAGAACCUUUGACGAGCUCAAAGGCCACGGGAAGCACUGGGUCAAUGAACUCCAGCCCGUGUUGUGGUCGAUCAGGACCACACCUAGCCGGGCAACGGGUGAAACUCCUUUCGCCCUUGUCUAUGGGGCAGAAUCGGUGCUUCCCCUCGAGCUCAAGCAUGGAUCCCCUCGAAUACGCGCGUACGGCAACCAUAGCCAACACGAGUAGAGGGUUGACGAUCUAAGCUUCGUCGAAGAACUUCGAUGCUGGGCUGCUGUGCGGGCUGCACGCUACCAGCAGGAAGGGUCCAUCCCCGGGAGCUCGAGAUCGGAGACCUUGUCCUGCGCCGGAUACAAGGCACGAAGGCCGGGAACAAGCUGGCUCCGAAAUGGGAGGGGCCCUUCCGGGUAGUGCAGGUAACCAGGCCGGGGGCUGUCCGGCUGGAAACCGAAGAAGGCUUGCCGGUGCAAAAUAGUUGGAAUCUUUAGCACUUGCGUAAGUUCUACCCGUGAAGCGAUGGAGCCCGACCCACAGGUGAUGCUCCGGCAGCAUGCCUCUCGAGAUAGUGUAGCCGGGCAACCCCCGAUUGUAAACCACUAGCUUUUAUUAAUAAAGAUAAGUACUUUCCUCUGAAUUUCAAGCUGCCUCGAAUAUUUGCAUGUUUUUUUCCAUCUGUCUCCUGCUUUAGGUGCACAAAAGUCUCUUUCCAUCCUUGGUUGUGAGCAGGGGCUGCCGGAGCCUUGAAAACGAAAAACCCGCUGCCGGAUUACUCCGGCACGAGGCCAUGCCGUUGCCGGGCUCCCCGCAACGCGCAUCACGCAGGAGCUGUGUCCUGGAAUAGAAAGGUGCUCACACCCAAGUUUGUAUCGACCCUUCUGUGCCCGGGGGCUGGGGGCAGGAGGGUUGCUUGUGCUUUAUUCAUGUUGCGUCUUUUUUCGUGUAUUUCGAAAAAAAAUUGCAGCAUCUUGCGCUCGGUAAGAAUCUGACAUGCAGGGCAAGGACGGAGUUGUGCGCACUGUAAUCCUCGUGGGUCGCUCAGGGGUUCUGUCAUUUAGCGGUGUCCGAUUGUGCGUAGCAACCGCACUUCGAGGUUUUCACCGCACUCCGAGGUUCCUGCAGCAGGAGGGAGCCACCACGUGUGCUGCGGCGACUUGGCGCGCGCGGUGGCAGGGCCCUUACCGCACUUCAAGGAGUGUGGCACCACGGGUGCCGCGGUAACUCGGCGCGUGUGGUGGCGAGGUUCUUCACCGCGCCUAUAAAAGGGCGCGGUGGUCAUGGAGCAGCUCCGAGCGAAGCCAAGAGGAUGGCUACAAAGGCGAGGGAGGCCGCAGAGACGCGAUGGAGGUGCAUGCCACCCGCGCUCAGUGCCGGUGGGUGCACGGCCAUCAUGUCCUUGUCGCAUCCCUCCACCAGGCAGUUCCGAGGCGAGGGUUGCCGCGGAGACGCUUUGGUGGCGCCGCCACCGGUGCUUGGCACUGGCGCCGGCCCCGCCACAGCGUUCCUACCGCAUCCCUCAAGCAGGCAGGUUCAAGGCGAGGGCCAUUGCGGCGGCGCUCUGGGGGUGCAUGCCAUCAGUGCCUAGCGCCGAUAGGUGCACUGCCAUAGCGUCCUUGCCGCGCCCCUCCGACAGGCAUUCCGAGCGCAAGAACGAACAGCUAAGUGCAUGAUCUUGGAUGCUGAACUUUCUGACGCUAAACAUUGGCUCGCUGGUGUGGCUCGAGCCGUCUGUGUGACUGGGGUGUUAGAAGGACGCUUGCGGGGCGAGUGCGCUCCACGUGCGGCUUGCGGGUCCGCCCCGUGAGUGCAUGCUUGGGAGUAGCUAUCCCGCGAGCGGAGUGGCUCGCCGCUGCCACUUGAUCCCAGGUCGGCACUGCGGGUCCGUCUUGGGUCCCUGGUCUGAUUAAGUGUGUGGCAUGCGAGUCCCCGGCAACACAGGGCAUAACACACGAAGGCCGGGAGAUCCACCCCGCGAGUCAAUCCCGGGAAUGAGAAACGAGUACUAAGUAGAACCAAAGAACGAAGUUCAUAAAGGCAACAAACAAUUACAUGAACUAAUAAAACAUUAAUUGUUUAAACGGUGCCGAGCGCGACGCUUGCAGGAAUCAAAGAUAAAAACACGAAGACAAAACGAGGACUGGCAGGGCGCUGCGGUGACUAGUUGCCGGCGUCUUCCGCUGGGGGCUUUGGCUCCGGCUCUGGCUCUGGCUUCCUCUGCUUCCGGUCCACCACCUCGUCGAAGAACCUGCUCACUGCCUGGCAGUGGGUGGGGCCAUCCUCGCUGUCAGACCAGGCAUCUAGUAGCGUCUCGAAGGGGAAGACCGGGUGGCGGAGGUGCACUCGGGGAAGGAUCGUCCCGGCGAUAUCCCUGGCGCACGUGGCGAUCUCCUGGUCGCAGAACAUGGAGAUCCACACGUCAAGCACCCCGAGCUUCCCCACCAUGUCGGAGAAGAACGGGAUCAGCGUGCUGACGUCCGUAUCGUCCACCUGCACGGUCUGCAGCUCGAAUCACGGUAGCAGGUCGAGCACUGCCUUGGCGAUCUCGAGCAGCUUUAGGGACUCCCUCCGGCGCUGCUCCACCAGUGUGGCAUGGUUGCUGCGUGCCAGCACCACAACGUGCUUAGACUUGCGGAGAAGGUCCGCCUACCGCGCGAUCUCCUUGGCCUUGGCCACGUUGUCCUCGCCUGCCUUGACGAGCUCCUCCCUGGCGGCAGCAAACUCGGACUCGAGCUGGGCACUCUUCUCCUUGGCAGAGUUGAGCUCCUUCUCCCGCCGUACCGACGCCACUGCCGCAUCCUCCGCAGCCUUAGCCUGCUCCUCCAGUUGGUGCGCAGCCCCUGGAGUUGGGAGAGGUAGCUGCAGACCAGCUCGCUUUUCUCGUUGAGACGAGCCUGGGCCGUAGCGAGCACCUCCUCAUGCACUUUCCUGGCCUUCGCUUGCGCCGUGGCCAGCGAGUCUAGAGCCAUCCGGUGGAGCCCCGCUUUUGGGACGAUCGGCGCUGCGGCUUCGACCCUGGCCUGCCGCAGCCGGGAGAGCUCCUGCCGCUCCCUCUCAACGGCCUGUCACACCACGCCAAGCUGGCCCUUCGCGAGCUCGUGGCGCUCCCUCACCUGGUUGAAGGAGGUGACGAACGCCAGCUGCUGCUCCUUGAUCGCGUCAAGGAACUGGUGCCCCUGGUCAUAGAUGCUUGGGUCCCAAGUCAGCCCGACGAGAAUGCCGGAGUCCGGGCCGAAGGCAGCAGAAGACGACGACGAGGCCCCCGCCACCACUGUUUGGCCGGGAGGUGCGUCGUCCCCCUGCAGCGGAGCCUCCUGCUGCUUCCCUGCCGCAGCCUCCUCCACGCCCGCGCCCAUGGGUUGCGGGGGUGGCGGAGUUGCCGUUCCCCCGGCAGGAGGUGCCUCCUGUCGGGUGACCGCGGGAUCCGCGUCCUCGGCCUGCACGGACCGGGACGCGCCACCGAGCUUCGCCCUGGUAGUGACGGCGGGCGCCGCCACCGUCGUGUCCGCCGCGCAGGAGCUGGGCGCAGGAGCCUCUUCCGGCUCCUCCCUUGCCUCCGCGUCCUCGGCGUCGGAGCCGAGGUCAACCACCAUGUUUCCGCUCCCGUUGUGAGCACGGUCGGGACUGUGACAAAGAGUGAAAUUAGAACCUAGAAAUAAGAUGAAUUGCCCAGUGAUGAACGCAAGAACGCUCCGAAUGAGUACCUUGCAGGGCCGCCGAGCUUGCGGGAGGUGCUUCCUCCUCUUCCGUCCCGGCUGCUGUUGCCGGGCCACAUGCCGCGGGCAGGGCUUCGCCUACGAGUCAAGAAGGCAGCACGAUUGCAGGUCAGCAAACGGGAUUAACUUGUGCAAUGGGAUCAAGAGAGGGGUCAUGUAACAGCCCAAGAGCAACUUUUACAUUUAAGCCCAGCGCGGCCCCGCUUCUCCCAGCGCGCCCCACGUUCCGCCUUCCCGCGUCAAAAACGUAAUCUGGGAAAUACGCUUUGUCUCACAGAGCCUUUUCCUCCUCCUGCCUCCCUCUGCUUUUUCCUCGUCCUCCACUCAGCUAGCGCCACGUCCUCCCUUUUGACGCGACGGCCUUGGCUGCGCCUCCUAUUUGAGCUGCUCCGCGCCCUCCUCUCAACCCUAGCACAGGGAAAGCCCUAGAAGGACUUUCCUCCCUCUCCUUCUGUUCGCCGCCGCCAUCUUCUUCCUGGCCGCGGGCGUCUUCACGUCGCGCCGCCGUUCCAGCCCGAACCAAGAAUAACCGCGCACGUCACCUUGUUCGCUCGGAGCUGCUCUUCGUCUGGACGCGAGGAAUCGACCGAAGAUCGCCUACGUCGUCGCCUAGCUCCUCUUCUUCAACUCCGGCCGCCGCCGACAGCGAGCCUCCCCUCGCACGAUCUCGUGCACGGUGAGCUCCGCCUCGUCGUUGCGCCUCUGUCUCUCACUUCCCCUCCCUCUAGAACUCCCUGUAGCGCUAGGACGACGAGACCACGCCAUGGACGCCGCCGUCGAGCUUCGGAUCCGUGCCGUGCGCACGUGCAAGAGGGGCUUGUGUGGUGGCCGUCGAGCCACCUUGCCCUUUUGUAACAUCCCAAAAAUUCAAACUCUUUCAUAUGCAUUGCAUCCAUGAGCAUCAUGCCACAUUUGCAUGUUUGAAUUCAAAUUUUAAUUCCAAAAAGGCUUUAAGAAGAUUUUAUUCCAUUUUAAAACCCUAGUAUUUCACCCAUUUGAGCUUUGGAUCUCUAAACCAAUAGGGUUUAUCUAUAAAAGGGGUUUAUUGCAUAAAUAAACUAUCCCAUAAUUUUUUGAGUAUUUAUUGGAGUUGAAAAACUAUUUUAUUUAAAUAGUUAUAUAGCCCUAAAGGCACUUAUAGCGCAAAUGUAUUUUUAUAUAUUUUUUUUGGAAGGGAAAUUACUCCCAAAAGUUGAAUCAUGCUAUAACAUGAUUAUACAAAUUUUCUAGAAUUUAUUUGGAUCAAUUUGGAGUUCAAAAUCAAAAGACAUCAAAGAAAACAGAAAAAGAAAAAGAAAAGAACAAAAAAAAAAGAAAACCGGACCGGCCCGGCCAUUUUGGGCCGAACCGGCCCGGUCCCACCCGAGCCCGCCGAGCCUGGUCCGCGCGCCACUGACAGGUGGGGCCCACCGGUCAGGGUGUUCGUCCUCGAUGUGAAUUAUUACUUGGAACUUGUACUUUAUGACCAUGUUACUGUUUAUCAUAUUUGGGCAAAGUGUAACCACUGUUAUCAUUCAUCUUACUAGCUAAUGGAUAAUCUAUUUCUCUAAAUGCCUAGAACUUUUGAUUAAAUUGGAUGCAUCAUUCUAUCACAUGCCAUGCAUCCUUGUUUGCGCAUUGCACCCAAUGAAUGCUUAUUCUACCUACCUUGUGUGUUUGGAUCUUAUCGUUAGCGACUCCGACUUACUCAGUCGAUGAUCCGGGUUCCCACACUUCUUCGGAUCCCCUCUCUCGGUGCCCAGCGACCGAGAAUCCAGGCAAGCAGCCAUUCCUUGAACAUGUUGAUUAUACCCAAUGCCUCUCUCUCGUUCUUGCAUUAAGUUAUGUUCUCAGUUCUUGUCACGAUGCCUCUAGGAAUUGCAUAGCUUUAGUCAGCUCUACUCAAAUGCAUGUUGUCUUGUUCCUUAUCCUAUUACCAUGUCACAUGUUUGUUAUUGUCCUAGUUGGUCAUUAGAAGUCUUGCUUAGAUGGCUAGUCUAGUGUCCUUACUUGGGGUUAUACACUUGCUACAUCCACAUGCUACUUUCUGUAUUUAAUUGUAAUUAUUAAACUGUGACCUGUUACUACCUGCACAAGGCAACGAUGGGACGCCGUGCUAACGCAUUGGUGUUUUGUUCCAUUGGCGCCGACCUAAGGAUUGAGUUCUCGUUUUCUCCGACCCAAGAAACUUCGCGCUAACCGCUCGUGGGAGAAUAUAUGGGUUCCCCCUCGGCUUAGUACUUGUUUCAUAGCUCUUCCAGGGGCCACAUAGUUCGGGCGUUCCAUUUGGCAUAUCGCAUAUACGCUGGUGUUGUGUUUGGAGAUUUGUUGGUACUUUGCAUACAUAUAGGAUUGCGGCACUAGUCUGGAGUGGUCAUUCUGCGGACACUGAACCACUACCAGCUGUCCUCGCAACAAUUGAGUCCGUACGAUGCUUCAGCCAGGCUCUCGUUUCGGCUUAGACUCCGUUGGGUGGUCCCCUGGAUUAGUUGUGGGGCUUGGAAACAUCGUGUCGCCCAAUCCUGCCGACACACGUCUUUGUGUGUUCCUACUCGAGUGGCAACAAGGUUUGGACGAACGUGUACGGGUAAAUUGGCACACCCUACAGGGAUAAACCUUUCGGAAAGCCGUGUCCGCGGUUAUGGACGACUUGGUUGGUCAUUACUUGAUCAUAGAGAACUCACUCAUUUUAAUUAAUUUAAUCUCUUGAACUUGAGUAGUAAUUAGCCUUUCAUCAUGGAUAUGCUUAAAACUACUUAAGCGUGAAUGCCUUUGGAUCAUUUCCUCACAAUGGGUUGGGGGGGGGGGUGAUAAGAGGUUGUGUUUGCUUGGUGUUAGUUGUUAGAAGAUCACCUCACUUAGUAGACGCUCCUGAUCCUCUAAUUAGACGAUGUCAUUAGUGUGUCUCUCCAGAUAUAUUGCUGCUGCAUAACCCCACCAUAUUAUCCAUCCUUUGAGACUUCUUGCACCUAGUUUAGAUUUCCCGUAAGUCUUGCGAGUACUUUGUACUCAGUUGCUUUGCAACGUUGUUUUCUCCAGAGUUCCUAGAGGAUCAGGUGAGUGGUUACUUCGUGGAGUUUGACAACGACAGCUUCGACGUUUAGCCAGAAGAUUCUAGAGCAGGGUUCUGUGAACUUGUGGCGGGCUCUCCUUUCAGUUUCAGCCUCUUAGGCAAUAAUUGUAAACUUGUCCGUACUCGGGCCUAAUUUGCUUCCGCUGGUGUAAUAAUGAUUGUGGACAUGUGUCCGUGAGUUGUAAUAACUUUGCAUUUCGCUCCUUGUAUGAGCUUGACUUAAUCUUGUGUCUUAGAAGUGAUGUAAUGAUAUCAUUUUUUUUCCAACAUGCGGUGAACAAAUUGCGUGUAUGUUGUGAAGUGUUCAUCCUAGGGAGGCACUGGGACUUGAUUUAUGCGCGAGUUAGCAUUUGGGGCUAAAUUGCAUAAAUUCAGUCUCGGGGUCUCACAAUUUGGUAUCAGAGCCUCGCUGCCCUUAGAUUUCUCCCUGGUUAGAAAUGGUCGAAGUUAAGUCUAGUAACUAUUUUCAUCUCGAAACUAUUUGAAAAAUGGAAAAGUAGACUCUGAUUUUUCUUCUUUUCCCACCCACGCACCCUUCUUGUUUUGGAAAAUUCCCUCUUUUCCUCAGUUUGUAAACUAGGUAUCUCGGGGUUUGUUAUCCGUAGUUCCUUUUAGUUAGUGGCAUUCAAGUUCUUUUGUGGUUUUAGUUGUCAGAGAAAAGACCAUUCCUUCUUGUUUAGCUCAUAUCUAUAGUGCAUAGAUAAAGCUAGUUCUUCCAAAGUUCUAAUCCUGCAAUCACUUUCUUUCAGAUGUCGCUCUACAGGUGGUCUUGAUGUCCAACUGUGAGACUACCCCUGAGGUGCUCCGUGAGAUCAUGAGGCAAAUCGGUUUCCGAUACCAGCCGGAGUACACGGUAUUCGAGGAUUACCGUGACUUCAACCAGGAGUACUACCGUGCCGUUGUCCGCCUCCACCAAGAUCUGCCUUCAGAAAAGUUUCCAGUGGACAAAGCAGUGGGAACUGGGCAUACCAUCGAGUUGGCAAUCCAACAGGUGGCGUACAUGUGCGUGACCCUACUCCGCAGGAAGUACGAAAGGCUGGACAAAGGACCGUUCAAGUACAUCCCAAGGGGCUUCAUCACGUGCGAGAACAAGUUCUUCACACUUCCAGGCUUGCCCGACGAGAAGGUUGCGAAUGACAGCUACGAUUUCUGCAACUUCGUGUCAAGCCAGGAGCACAUGAUGGCAAACAUGCGUGCUGAGGUCGAGCACUACUGCAAGCAACUAUGGAUAGCACUCAGUCACCUCUCCGCCGUGGUUGAUGCAGGAAUGUACGAGAAUGAAGUUCGCUAUCCUCCGAGACCUCCUGCUCCUCAGAUGCUCCAUGCGUUUCCAAUGGAUGGGUUUACUCCAGCACGUGGGCCACCAAGAGUGUUCAAGAGUACGUACCUUCCGCGUCAGUUCCUGUACGGGGAACAGAAGGCAGAUGCGUAUGUGUUUCCGUACUCUCCGCAGCUACUGCCGACGUUUUGAUAGCUUUAUCAAGAUAGGUCUCUUGUAUCCGUAGUUCCAUCUAUGGCCACACUUCCUGUGCGAUGUGAAUGGCAAGAUAAGUAGUGUAAUCUUUCCUUUGCUUUGGAUGAUUGUAAUCACUAAAUCUUUGGAUGGCACUAUGUGGUAUCUCAGACUUCAUGUUAUCCUUUAAUCCUGUCUUUGAGGUUUUACGUCAUGCACUAUGUUUCAACUAUUGUGUAAACCAUUGUGCAAACAGGAUGGCACCUGUUCGUCGUGAUCCUCCUCCUCCGCCAGAGUUAGGCAACAUACUGCUUCAGAUGGAACAAAUAAUGACCAGCAAAACAAUUAGGGCAACAAUUCAAACAAUGGGACUAAUGGCAGGGUUUCCAUCAAGGAUUUCCUUGCUCUCAAUCCAAGGACUUUCUCUCUACCGUCAGAACCACUUGAUGCUGAUGACUGGCUUCGUGAGAUGGUCCGCCCUCAUUGCACGGUUCGUGUGGCAAAUGAGGACAAGGUUCCUUUUGCGACCUACGUCCUUCGAGGUGAAGCAGCCGCAUGGUGGGAGAAUUUCCAAGCUUCCAAGCACCCUGAUGAAUUCAUCACUUGGUUUGACUUCCAGGACGCUUUCCUAAAGCACCACAUCCCAGCUGGUCUGAUGGACAGAAAGCGUGAGGAAUUCUGCAGUCUGACUCAGGGCAAGAGUUCUGUUCUCGAAUGCUGCAAGGAUUUCAACCGUCUUGCUUGCUAUGCUGGCGAUGAGAUCUCUACCGACUUGAAGAAACAACAAAAGGUUUCGCAAGGGUCUCAGUCCGUCGCUGAAGUAUGCUCUCAAUCUCAUCAGGUGCAAUUCUUUUGAAGGCUUGGUCAAUACUGCUCUGCAAGCUGAGUAUGGCCGUGCACAAUUUGAGGAUUCUCGCAAACACUCUCAUGAUAUUGGGUCUUCUUCCUCAGGCAACAACAAUGUUGGUUCUCAAAAACGGAGGUUGUGGGUUCCCAACAACGCAACUGUCCGUCCAGCAUAUGGUCAGAAGAAUGGUGGUCAAGGUUCCCGCCCAACCUCCCAGGCUGUCUCUCUCAAGAGCUACAAUGGGCAGCAAAGACCUCAGAAUCAGAACAGUGACACCAGAGUCUGUUACAAGUGCAAACAGCCAGGCCACAUUGCUACUCACUGCCCUCUGAAUCAGAUUCAGGCAGCACCUCGCCCUCCUUCAAGCCAGGCGAUGGUUCCAGCUCAGGGUAAUCAGCAAAGCUCUUGUGACAACAACAAGUCUAAUGCCAACCGUGCCCGUGUCAACCAUGUUAAUGCUGAGCAAGCAGAGGAAGCUACCGAUGUUGUCAUCGGUAAUUUGCAUGUUAAUUCUGUUCUUGCUAAAGUAUUAUUUGACACUGGAGCAUCGCAUUCUUUUGUUUCGCACUCUUUUGCACAAGCAAUUGACUAGCAACAAGACACCUUGCUUAACCCUGUUCUAAUCCAAACCCCUGGGUCCCAGUCGAGUUCAAUUAAGAUAAGUCGUGGCAUCCGAAUCCAAAUCGGCAAUCUUGUCUUCUUUGCCGACCUCCUAGCCCUCGGACCCUCUGACAUUGAUGUCAUUCUAGGGAUGGAUUGGCUUAAACCUCAUCAAGUUUUGAUAGACUGUGCUGCUAAGUCUGUCAUUCUAACACGUCCCACUGGCCAGAUAGUCACUUUCCACUCUUUUAAGGCCACAAACACCCAGCUCUACUCUCUAGACGCAAAGCCACUUCCAACUUUGGAAUCUGUUAGGGUGGUUUGCGAAUUCCCGGAUGUUUUUCUUGAAGACUUACCAGGCAUGCCUCCCGACAGAGCGGUUGAGUUUGUGAUCGAACUCGAACCAGGAACUGCUCCUGUUCAUAGCCGUCCUUACAAGAUGUCUCCACCAGAGUUGGCGGAACUUAAAAGACAACUUGAAGAGUUGGAGAAGAAAGGAUACAUCUGUCCAAGCUCCUCUCCUUGGGGUUGUCCCACUCUGUUUGUCCAGAAGAAGGACAAAACCGAACGUUUGUGUGUUGAUUAUCGUCCUCUUAAUCAACAUACAAUCAAGAACAAGUACCCACUUCCUAGGAUCAACGAUCUGUUUGACCAACUAGCCGGAGCCGCAAUUUUCCCAAAACUUGAUCUACGCUUAGGGUAUCAUCAAAUCAAAAUCCAGAAGGAGGACAUUCCAAAGACCACUUUCACUACUCGUUAUGGUCUUUACGAGUACACGGUCAUGUCUUUUGGCCUCACCAAUGCUCCAGCUACCUUCUCUCGUCUAAUGAAUUCUAUUUUCAUGGAAUAUCUGGACAAGUUCGUUGUGGUCUACUUGGAUGAAAUUCUUGUCUACUCUUAAUCCGAGGAAGAACAUGAAGAACAUCUUCGCCUCAUCCUUUCCAAACUUCGUGAAAAUAGACUCUAUGCUAAGUUCUCCAAGUGUGAGUUCUGGCUUCCAGAAGUCAAUUAUCUUGGUCACGUCAUCUCAGCAAAGGGAAUUGCUAUCAAUCCGGAGCGAAUUCAGGACAUUGUUGGGUGGUCUCAACCCAAGAAUGCAAAGCAAAUCCGGAGUUUCCUUGGUUUGGCAAGUUAUUGCCGACGUUUCGUCCCCAAUUUCUCCAAAAUUGCCAAGCCUUUGACCGACCUUCUCAACAAAGAAGUUUGUUUGGACCUCUCAGUGCGAAGAGGGCUUUAAACUUUUGAAGGAAAAACUCACUACACCUCCAAUCUUGGCUCCUCCAGAUACUACUUAACCUUUCCAAAUCUAUUGCGAUGCAUCUCGCCAAGGUCUAGGCGCUGUCCUUUUCCAAGAUGGGCAAGUUGUGGCAUAUGCGUCUCGCCAACUUCGUCCAAAUGAACUCAACUAUCCCACGCAUGAUCUUGAACUCGCUGCAGUUGUUUUUGCAAUAAAAACAUGGCGGCAUUAUCUUGCUGGUGUACCUUGUGAGAUCUUUACGGAUCAUAAGAGCCUCAAGUACAUCUUCACCUAGCCUGAUCUCAAUCUCAGACAGCGACGAUGGAUGGAGUUGAUCUCAGAAUACAAUCUGUCGAUUAAUUACACUCCAGGCAAAGCUAAUGUUAUGGCCGAUGCCCUUGGUCGCAAAUCUGAUUGCAACUCUCUCACAGUCACAGAAUUACCUCCUGACCUUUGUGAAGACUUCAAGAAUCUUAACCUCGAGCUUGUUCCGAAAGGUUAUCUUGAAAUCUGGUCGUCACUUCUGUUUCAUCCUUGGAAGACAGAAUUCGUAAAGCUCAGCUCCUUAUGAUUUGGUCAAGAACGUUUCUGAUCAGAUAAAAACUAAAGAUCCCAAAGCUAAGAAAUUCUCACUUGAUGACAAAGGAACUGUGUUCUUUGAUGAUCGCAUGGUUGUUCCUAAUAAUCAAGACAUAAGAGAUUCUAUUCUCAAAGAAGCCCAUGACACACCUCUUGCUAUCCAUCCCGGUUCUACCAAGAUGUAUCAAGACAUCUGAAAGAGCUAUUGGUGGACUGAAAUGAAAGAGCAUAUUGCUAGAUAUGUGUCUGAAUGUGAUGUAUGUCGCCGUGUUAAGGCAGAGCAUCAGAAGCCUGCUGGUCUUCUUCAACCUCUGAGUGUUCCAACAUGGAAGUGGGAGAAGAUCGAAAUGGACUUCAUCACUAGGUUUCCGAAAUCUCGCAAGGGCAAUGAUGCAAUAUUUGUGGUGAUUGACCGACUUUCUAAAGUCACUCACUUCUUGCCUGUCAAAGAAACAAUCUCAGCUAGUCAAUUGGCCGAAUUGUACACUGCCAGAAUUGUCUCUCUCCAUGGUGUCCCAGUUGAAAUAAGCUCCAAUCGUGGAAAUAUCUUUACAUCCAGAUUUUGGGAAAGCUUUUAGAAGGCAAUGGGCACUUAUCUCGUGUUCAGCACCGCUUUUAAACCUCAAACUAGUGGUCAAGUUGAAAGUGUAAAUCAGGUCCUUGAAGACAUGCUUCGAGCUUGUGUCAUGUCCUUUGGUCUGAAAUGGGAAGAAUCUCUGCCGUUUGCGGAGUUCUCUUACAACAAAAGCUAUCAAGCAAGUCUGGGCAUGGCGCCAUUCACUUUCCUCUAUGGUCGCAAAUGUCGCACUCCCUUGAUGAUGAGGACAUCCCAACUAAUGAUACAACCACAGCCCCUACAGCACAUACACCUCAAGUACCGGAGAUACAUGGACCAAUUACUAGAGCUCGUGCACGACAACUAAAUUAUCAGGUACUUUCGUUCCUCGGUACUUCAUUUAAUAUUAAUGAGAACAUGCUGCUGCCUAAGAUGGGUUCUUUUAUGUGUUUUAGGAAUGAAGGACCUAGCUUGCACCUCAAGGAUCAGCGUUGGACAGCAAACCAUGGAGGUGGCAGCAAGGUGGCGGGAGCUAGCUCAAGUGAUGAUUUCAGAACAUUGAAACCGCCAUAACGAGAGAUGAGAAGAAGGCCGCAUCCUCUUCAUCAAUGGGAUUUCGGCCAAGUGGAGGAUUCUCCCUCCAAUGGGUAUCUAUGGGCCAAAGAUGAGGGUUAUAACCUUGGUUUAUUGGGCCUAAGGCCAUGUAAUAGGGUCCAGCCAAUUUUUAGAUGUUUUCGCUGUGUUUUAGGAGGAUUCCUAGGCCGUUUCGGAGUCCCUCAAGGACCUGUCCGAAAACCACCUAGUUCCCCUCCUAUUUAUACCCCAUGUGCCCCCCAUGGAGCCUUGGGUUUUGAUUAGAUAAAGUUUAGCCUUUGCUACUUUCGUGUAAUCGCGUGUGUCGGUUAGACCACCUGUUUUACCGUCAUCAAGACUCCAACUAUAUUGAGUAUUCAGAUUCGUGAACCUUCAUAUCUCCUAUUCGCAAUUUCAGAUUGCUUUUCAUCUUGUUCUUGCUUGUUCUUCGAUUGCUUGCAGGAACAAAGACCUUCGUGGUCAGGUUGAUCGUGCCCCCGCGGGAUCAAUAACCUUCUGGAGUUGGUGUAUCGAUCGCUAAGGCGCUGCCUCCUAGGUUGUAGUCGGAUCGUCAACGUCACCUCCUACCAAAUCGAUAAUUAGGUAUCUCAUCGAAAGAUCGGGACACCCUCGAGGCUAUCACGUGGUAUCAGAGCUUAAGGUUGCUCGGUGAGAUUUUUCCAGUUUAUCCGUAGUUUAGAUCUGUUUUUACCUAUCGUCCAGAAAAAGCCAAACAAAAAUUAGAAUUAGUUACCUUGUCCUAGAACCAAUCUGAGCCUUGCAAUUUUCACAUUAGUAUUUGCAUUGUUGAAUCUUUGCUGCAUUAAUCGUGUCGAGUUGCUGGAUUAGAUUGGAUCGUUUUUCAGAUUUUUUCUACUAGAUCGAACUUGCUUUUGGUUUUCUUGUUCUUCGUGUGACGCAGGUUUCCUUCAUCAAUCUUCCACCGCCACCAUAUCUUCCACCGAGUCCCUCUUCGAGUCCUACACCGAGUCCUUCUUCCAGUCCUACACCGAGUCCCUCUUCGAGUCCUACACCGAGUUCCUCUUCGAGUCCUACACCGAGUCCUACAUCGAGUCGGCAAGUUAUAGUUUUCAGCCGCGAGUUUGAGUCCGAGUCCAAUCAAGAGUGCUUUUGGAAAGUGUUUCAUAAUAGAUCGAUUUUUGUUUAGAGAUCAAGUUGUUCGGAAAGUUGUGAAAAAAAAAAGAAGGGAAAGAAAAAAAAAGGAAGAAAGAAAGGAAAAAAUACGGAAAAAAAAAAAGAGAGAAAGAGUUCGAGUCAGUUUCGGACCCGAGUCCGAGUAGAAUUUUAGUUUCGGGUGGGUUUGACCCGUGUUCAGUAAAACGGACGUAUCUUUUGCAUACCAACUCGGAUUUGGACGUUUUUGGACUUUUUGGAAAGCUCACGACGAGGCGCAUCAGGAAAUAUCCAGGGCAACGCCCUGCACUUUGACCCUCAAAUUCGGCCUCUAAGGUGGACUUUUCGAGCUCCAAAGUUUCUGCACCCGUUUUACGGCACCGGGGCAGCGCAGUAUAUCUCAGUUUUCUCCACCGUCCGACCUCCGUUUCGAGUGAUCUUGCACUUGUUGGAAAGCUUGUUUUGAUACGCUUCUAACCCAUAUUUUCUCAUAUUUUUCUGAGUUUUCCUUACUACAGCCUUUAAUAUUCUCCUACAGACCGACGUGCAGCUUUCCGGUCUUAACUUCUUUUGCGUGAGUUUCUGGGGAUAAAAAAAAAUAGAAAAGAAUAAGAAGCCAAACAGAAGGCCACAAAAAGAAAAAAAAAGAGAGAAAAAAUAUUCCCCAGAGAUUUACUUGUUUUACCUUUCAUUUGAUCUUUCCUUUCUACCUUUUUCAGUAUCUAGGCUUAGUUAAUUUCUGUAAUUCGUUCUUGUCGACUCCAGCAACUAGGACUAGCAUUUUUGAGCAUAUUUUCAACUUUGCAUUGCUGAUUUGAUUAUUUGCUUUUCCUUGCUACUCACAUAAGCCUCCAAGCUCCACAGAUUCUACACCUAGGUUGGUUUGCCUCGAGGCAUCGAUACACUAAUCUUCGGAGGGCUUGUUCUCGCCGCUGGCCAUCACCUUCCUGUUUGCGGGGUAAGAACGAGUAAGAACUUGAUUAAAAGUUGAGUGGAGUGAUCUUUGGAACCCCACAUCCUAGUAGUGCAUAGGGACUUUUCCUUGUGAUUUGUUUCUUGUUUUUUCCUAACGAUGGCAUGUUCUGACGAUGAUUUACAAGGCCACUCUCCACGCACAAAGGGCAUUAUUUCACAUUUUGAUCGCAAGCUUAGGCUCCGUAACGAGGAGCUGGAUGAGGACGUUCGGGUUGCGAAUGAGAGACUUGGAACCUUGGAGAGCGCGCACAUUGAAACAAAUACCAAGCUAACAUCUUUACAGAAUUCUGUUGCUACCAUUAGUACUUCUCUGGCAGAAAUCACGACGCAACUGGCGGCAAUUGCUGCAACGACCAUCGCUACACCGGGAGGAAACAAUACACACAACCAGCGGACCGCUAAUAAGGGUACCUUCGCAAGCGAGGUUGAGGAGAACGACGACGACUACUCCGCGGAUACGGAACACGACGGGGCCGUAAACCAUCACAACGACCGUGAUCAUCGCCGAACUCGUUUCAACCGCCGAGGUAUGGGACCGACACGACCUCACAGAGAGGAACAUGACUCGCUGCAUUCUAUUAAACUUAAGGUUCCUCCUUUUGAUGGAAAAUAUGACCCUGAUGCUUACCUUACAUGGGAAUUAGAAUUGAGUCAAAAAUUUACUUGCCAUGAUUUUUCUGCUAAUAAGAGGGUUAGGGCUGCUACUAGUGAGUUUACUGAUUUUGCUUCUGUUUGGUGGCAUGAGUAUUGUAUUGCACAUCCUAACGCUAUACCACCAACAUGGGAUGAUUUGAAAAGAAUUAUGCGCGCUAGAUAUGUUCCUUCAUACUAUUCGCGUGACUUGUUAAAGAAACUACAACAAUUAAGACAAGGUAGUAAUUCUGUCCAAGAUUAUUAUCAAGAAAUGCAAAAGAACAUGUUACGUUGUGGUUUAGUUGAGAAUGAGGAAGCUGCUAUGGCUAGAUUCUUUGGUGGUUUAAAUCGUGAAAUUGCUGACAUUGUUGAUUAUAAGGAGUAUAAUUCUAUCAAUCGAUUGUUUCACAUUGCUUGCAAAGCUGAAAGGGAAGUGCAGGGACGACACGCGAACGCGCGGACUAACUUUUCUGCAGGUCGUACUUCCUCAUGGGCAGCACGCAGCCCCGCUGCCCCUUCCACACGCCUAGCUGCACCCCCUACACGUCCGGCUGUUCCGACUACUUCCACCAACAAGCAAAGUACCUCUACACCUACAUCCGCAAAGGUUGGACCAGCAGCAACAAGAAAUACACCCGCUGCCUCUGCACAAAGUUCAGCAGCGUCCGUUGCUUCCACCGGACGGACCGGAGAUAACCAAUGUCGUAGGUGCAAAGGAUACGGGCAUUUUCAGCGGGACUGUCCAACCAAACGCGUUAUGAUCAUACGUGAAGACGGAGUAUAUGAUUCAGCCAGUGAUUUUGACGAAGCUACCUAUGCUCUCAUUGUCGAGGAAGAGCAAGACGACCCCGCUGCCCACCAUGAUGAGGAGUUAAUGGGAGCUGAAGCCGCUGAUCAGUACUUGAGUUUGAUUGCACAACGCACCUUGAGCGUCCAAAUGAGCCACGCCGAACAAAAUCAGCGGCAUAACUUGUUCCAAACAAAAGGGGUCAUCAAGGAACGCGCUGUUCGUAUCAUCAUAGAUGGGGGAAGUUGCAAUAAUUUGGCCAGCACGGAGAUGGUGGAAAAACUUGUUCUUACCACCAGGCCGCACCCCCACCCUUACUACAUUCAAUGGUUUAACAACAGCGGUAAGCUCAAGGUAACUAGAACAGUCCGUGCACACUUUACUAUUGGUACAUAUUCUGAUUUUGUGGAUUGUGAUGUGGUACCUAUGCAAGCAUGUUCUAUGUUACUCGGUCGUCCAUGGCAAUAUGAUACAGAUUCUGUUCAUCAUGGUAGAACUAAUCAUUAUUCUUUUAUGCAUGCUGGUAAGAAAAUUGGUUUGAAACCUAUGACUCCUGAACAAAUUGUGAAAGAUGAUCUUGCUAGAGCUAGUAGAGCAAAGAGCAAAGAGAAGGAUAAGAGUGAGAACCAUAAUGUCGCUAAAGAAUUUAAGCACCAAGCGUCUACUAGCAAAUCUGAACCGAAACAUGUUAAUGAAAUUAAAUUGAAAGGUGCAUGCUUGCUUGCAAGUAAAUCCGAUAUUUCUGAGUUAGAUACGAAUAAUUCUGUUUGCUAUGCAUUCAUUUGCAAAGAGGCUUUGUUUUCAUUUGAGGAUAUGCCUCCCUCUUUGCCCCCUGCUGUUACUCACGUUUUGCAGGAGUAUUCCGACAUCUUUCCACAAGACGUACCACCAGGAUUACCACCUAUUCGAGGGAUUGAACAUCAAAUUGAUUUAAUUCCUGGUGCUUCGCUGCCCAACCGUGCGCCCUACCGUACCAAUCCAGAGGAGACGAAGGAGAUUCAACGACAAGUUCAAGAAUUGCUCGACAAAGGUUAUAUUCGUGAAUCCCUUAGUCCUUGUGCUGUUCCUGUUAUUUUGGUACCAAAGAAAGAUGGUUCUUGGCGUAUGUGUGUAGAUUGUAGAGCUAUUAAUAACAUUACUAUUCGCUAUCGUCACCCAAUUCCUAGACUUGAUGAUAUGUUAGAUGAAUUAAGUGGCUCUACCGUGUUCUCUAAAGUUGAUUUACGUAGUGGUUACCACCAAAUUCGAAUGAAAUUAGGCGAUGAAUGGAAAACAGCAUUUAAAACUAAGUUUGGACUAUAUGAGUGGUUAGUCAUGCCUUUCGGUCUUACUAACGCACCUAGCACUUUCAUGCGGUUAAUGAACGAAGUUUUACGUGCUUUCAUAGGACGAUUUGUGGUGGUUUAUUUUGAUGAUAUAUUGAUUUACAGCAGCUCUUUAGAAGACCACUUGAAUCAUUUACGUGCUGUUUUUGAUGCUUUGAGAGAUGCACGUUUGUUUGGUAACCUUGAGAAGUGCACCUUUUGCACCGAUCGAGUUUCGUUUCUUGGCUAUGUUGUCACUCCACAGGGCAUAGAAGUUGAUAAGGCCAAGAUCGACGCAAUUCAAAGCUGGCCAACUCCAACAACGGUCACCCAAGUGAGGAGCUUUCUUGGACUCGCUGGGUUUUAUCGCCGCUUUGUAAAGGAUUUCAGCACCCUUGCUGCACCGCUUAAUGAGCUCACAAAGAAGGACGUUCCAUAUGUAUGGGGCGCUGCACAAGAAGAAGUUUUUCUCAUAUUGAAAGAUAAGUUGACACAUGCUCCUUUACUCCAACUUCCUGAUUUUAAUAAGACUUUUGAGUCGGAGUGUGAUGCUAGUGGAAUCGGUUUAGGAGGUGUGUUGUUACAAGACGGAAAACCUGUUGCAUACUUUAGUGAAAAAUUGAGUGGGCCUAGUCUGAAUUAUUCUACUUAUGAUAAGGAAUUAUAUGCUCUCGUUCGGACUUUAGAAACAUGGCAACAUUAUUUAUGGCCCAAAGAAUUUGUUAUACAUUCUGAUCAUGAAUCUUUGAAGCAUAUUCGUAGUCAAGCAAAGCUGAACCGUCGUCAUGCUAAAUGGGUUGAAUUUAUUGAGUCUUUUCCGUAUGUUAUUAAACAUAAGAAGGGUAAAGAUAAUGUUAUUGCUGAUGCGUUAUCACGUCGUUAUACCUUGUUAUCUCAGCUUGAUUUUCGGACAUUUGGAUUGGAGACUAUAAAAGAACAAUACGAACAUGAUGCAGAUUUUAAGGAUGUUUUGCAGCAUUGUAAAGAGGGCAGAACAUGGAACAAGUUCGUCAUUAAUGAUGGAUUUGUGUUCCGUGCUAACAAGCUAUGCAUCCCAGAUAGCUCCGUUCGUCUUUUGUUGUUACAGGAGGCACAUGGAGGAGGGUUGAUGGGUCACUUCGCGUGAAAAAGACCGAAGAUGUGCUCGCUGAUCAUUUCUUUUGGCCUCGGAUGAGACGGGAUGUUGAGAGAUUUAUCGCUCGUUGCACUACAUAUCAAAAAGCUAAGUCACGACUCAAUCCUCAUGGUUUAUAUAUGCCUCUCCCUGUUCCUAAUGUUCCUUGGGAAGAUAUAUCAAUGGAUUUUGUUUUGGGAUUGCCUCGAACUAAGAAGGGGAGGGAUAGCAUAUUUGUUGUUGUUGAUAGAUUUUCUAAGAUGGCACAUUUUAUACCUUGUCAUAAGAGCGAUGAUGCUACAAAUGUUGCUGAUUUAUUCUUUCGUGAAAUUGUUCGCUUGCAUGGUGUGCCCAAUACUAUAGUUUCAGAUCGUGACACAAAAUUUCUUAGCCACUUUUGGAGAUGUUUAUGGGCUAAGUUGGGGACUAAACUGCUUUUUAGUACUACAUGUCAUCCCCAAACAGAUGGACAAACUGAAGUUGUUAAUAGAACAUUAUCUACUAUGCUUAGGGCUGUUUUAAAGAAGAACUUGAAAAUGUGGGAAGAAUGUUUACCUCAUAUUGAAUUUGCUUAUAAUCGUUCACUGCAUUCAACCACAAAAUUGUGCCCUUUUGAAAUUGUUUAUGGUUUUAUGCCUCGUGCACCAAUUGAUUUGUUACCUUUGCCAACUUCUGAAAAAAGUUAACUUUGAUGCUAAGGAACGUGCUGAACUUAUAAUAAAAAUGCAUGAGACGACUAAAGAGAACAUUGAGCGCAUGAAUUCUAAGUAUAAACUUGCGGGAGAUAGGGGCAGAAAACAAAUUGUGUUUGAACCUGGAGAUCUUGUUUGGUUGCAUUUGCGCAAAGAUCGUUUCCCUGAUUUGCGCAAGUCUAAGUUAAUGCCACGAGCUGAUGGUCCCUUUAAGGUGUUAGCAAAAAUUAAUGAUAAUGCAUAUAAACUUGAGCUACCUGCAGAUUUUGGGGUUAGUCCCACGUUUAAUAUUGCAGAUUUGAAGCCUUAUUUGGGAGAAGAAGAUGAACUACCGUCGAGGACGACUUCGAUUCAAGAAGGGGAGGAUGAUGAGGACAUCCCAACUAAUGAUACAACCACAGCCCCUACAGCACAUACACCUCAAGUACCGGAGAUACAUGGACCAAUUACUAGAGCUCGUGCACGACAACUAAAUUAUCAGGUACUUUCGUUCCUCGGUACAUCAUUUAAUAUUAAUGAGAACAUGCUGCUGCCUAAGAUGGGUUCUUUUAUGUGUUUUAGGAAUGAAGGACCUAGCUUGCACCUCAAGGAUCAGCGUUGGACAGCAAACCAUGGAGGUGGCAGCAAGGUGGCGGGAGCUAGCUCAAGUGAUGAUUUCAGAACAUUGAAACCGCCAUAACGAGAGAUGAGAAGAAGGCCGCAUCCUCUUCAUCAAUGGGAUUUCGGCCAAGUGGAGGAUUCUCCCUCCAAUGGGUAUCUAUGGGCCAAAGAUGAGGGUUAUAACCUUGGUUUAUUGGGCCUAAGGCCAUGUAAUAGGGUCCAGCCAAUUUUUAGAUGUUUUCGCUGUGUUUUAGGAGGAUUCCUAGGCCGUUUCGGAGUCCCUCAAGGACCUGUCCGAAAACCACCUAGUUCCCCUCCUAUUUAUACCCCAUGUGCCCCCCAUGGAGCCUUGGGUUUUGAUUAGAUAAAGUUUAGCCUUUGCUACUUUCGUGUAAUCGCGUGUGUCGGUUAGACCACCUGUUUUACCGUCAUCAAGACUCCAACUAUAUUGAGUAUUCAGAUUCGUGAACCUUCAUAUCUCCUAUUCGCAAUUUCAGAUUGCUUUUCAUCUUGUUCUUGCUUGUUCUUCGAUUGCUUGCAGGAACAAAGACCUUCGUGGUCAGGUUGAUCGUGCCCCCGCGGGAUCAAUAACCUUCUGGAGUUGGUGUAUCGAUCGGUAAGGCGCUGCCUCCAAGGUUGUAGUCAGAUCGUCAACGUCACCUCCUACCAAAUCGAUAAUUAGGUAUCUCAUCGAAAGAUCGGGACACCCUCGAGGCUAUCACUUGAACUGGACCGAGGCAGGUGAACGUCAACUCUUCGGGCCAGAUUUGAUUCAAGAAGCUGAGGACCAAUGCCGUAUCAUUUGGUAAAAUCUGUUAGCAGCUCAAUCCCGUCGAAAGAGCUACUAUGAUAACAAACACCAAGAGGUGGUGUAUGCUCCUGGUGAGCAGGCGUAUCUUCGUGUCACUCCGAUGCGAGGUACACAUCGUUCCAAUGUGAAAGGCAAGCUUGCGCCUCGUUACAUCGGCCCCUUCAAGGUGAUCGCAAAGCAAGGCGAGGUAGCUUAUCGCCUCGAGCUUCCUCCGAAUCUCACCAGGCUCCAUCAUGUGUUCCAUGUUUCCCAACUCAAACGUUGUUUCAAGGAUCCUGGUCGUGCAGUCGACCAUGAGACCAUCGAGCUCCGCGAAGAUCUCACUUACAAGGAGUCUCCAGUUCGCGUUCUCGAUGUGAAAGAAGGUCGCACUCGCAAUAAAACCCACAAAUUCUACAAGAUCCUUGUGUCUCAUCACUCUGACAAAGAAGCAACAUGGGAACGUGAAGAUCAGUUAAGCAAGGACUAUCCUACCUUUCUUGCGGAUCCCUGAGAAUCUCGGGACGCGAUUCCUUUUGGUGGGGGAGAAUUGUAACAGCCCAAGAGCAACUUUUACAUUUAAGCCCUUGUGUGGACCUGUUUGUAAUAUAAUUCUUGUUGCAUAACAUUUUACAUUUGCAUCCAUGCCAUGUCAUCACUUCUUUGUUUCACAUAAAAUUUGAAAAUUACAUUUUAAGUUGUGGCUUGAAAUCUUGUUGUUUGAAUUUGCUAGAAGAUUCAAAUAUGAAUCAUCCUUCUUUGAGUUGGAAUUCCUUUUCCUAUAUUUUUACCAAUGAUAUUCAAAUGGGUUUUGUUUUAAACCUUUACCCCAUUUGAAUAUUUCCCAAAUAGUAGUACCAUAUUUGAAUUCUCCUACUUCUCAGCUUUUCAAAAUGGUAUUUGAAAUUUGAAUCAAAAACUAUUUGCAAAAGAGAAAACAGAAAAAGGAAAUGGAAAAAGAAAAGAAAAUCUUCCCUUACCUCAGGCCGAGCCGGCCCAGCAGCCGCCUCGGCCCAACUUCUCCCGCCUGCGCGCAGCCCAGCUCUUCCUUUGCGCGCGCCAGCCAGCUCGGCCCAGCGCGGCCCAGCUUCUCCCAGCAUGCCCCGUGUUCCGCCUUCCCGCGUCGAAAACGUAAUCUGGGAAAUACGCUUUGUCUCACAGAGCCUUCUUCCUCCUCCCGCCUCCCUCUGCUUUUUCCUCGUCCUCCACUCAGGUAGUGCCACGUCCUCCCUUUUGACGCGACGGCCUCGGCUGCGCCUCCUAUUUGAGCUGCUCCGCGCCCUCCUCUCAACCCUAGCGCAGGGAAAGCCCUAGAAAGACUUUCCUCCUUCUCCUUCUGUUCGCCGCCGCCAUCUUUUUCCUGGCCGCGAGCGCCUUCACGUCGCGCCGCCGUUCCAGCCCGAACCAAGAAGAACCGUGCACGUCACCUUGUUCGCUCGGAGCUGCUCUUCGGCUGGACGCGAGGAAUCGACCGAAGAUCGCCUACGUCGUCGCCUAGCUCCUCUUCUUCAACUCCGGCCACCGACGGCUCUUCUUCAAAUUCCGGCGACAGUGAGCCUCCCCUCGGACCAUCUCGUGCACGGUGAGCUCCGCCUCGUCGUUGCGCAUCUGUCUCUCACUUCCCCUCCCUCUAGAACUCCCUGUAGCGCUAGGACGACGAGACCACGCCCUGGACGCCGCCGUCGAGCUUCGGCUCCGUGCCGUGCGCGCGUGCAAGAGGGGCUUGUGUGGUGGCCGUCGAGCCACCUUGCCCUUUGUGGAAUUCUCCAAAGGAAAGACCAUGCCCUUACCUGUUGCGCUGCUUGUUUGUGGUCGCCGGCGUCGUGCAAUUCCAUGGCCGCCGCGGCAAGCGCAAGGCAAGCACAAGAUCUGUGCCUUAUGCCAGUGGCUUGCCCCGUUCUGUUCAGAUCCAUGCGACGCGGGUUCGAAUCCUCACGGGCGCGAGAUAAAACCCCAUUUUUGGGAUUUACCGGCCACUAACAUGUGGGCCCCACGGACCCACCUGUCAGCGGCUUGGUCUACGGGCGCGUCCGGUGGAAUGAGUCCACGCGCCUGUGCCGUGUCAGGGCCACGUCAGCGAGCGUGGGUCCACACGUCAGUGCCCAUGGCUAGGACCUGACCGGUGUCUGUUGGUUUUUCUUUUUGGUUUUUGUUUUAAAAUUCCAGAAAUGCUUAAAUCUUGUUUAAUUCCUAGUAAAUGCAUGCUAAAUCCAAAUUGGGCAAACCAUAUAUGUUUUGGAAUCAGAAAAAUGCAAGAAAUUUAACUGUGCAAUUAGAUUUACACUUUGAGGUUUCAAAUUUCAAAUCUGUCCCAGAUUAGAAAUUCAAACAUACGAACAUGUGUAGCUUCUAGUUUAACAUUGGUAAUGAAUUUGAACCUACUGAAAAAAUGUGAAUUAUUACUUGGAACUUGUACUUUAUGACCAUGUUACUGUUUAUCAUAUUUGGGCAAAGUGUAACACUGUUAUCAUUCAUCUUACUAGCUAAUGGAUAAUCUAUUUCUCUAAAUGCCUAGAACUUUUGAUUAAAUUGGAUGCAUCAUUCUAUCACAUACCAUGCAUCCUUGUUUGCGCAUUGCACCCAAUGAAUGCUUAUUCUACCUACCUUGUGUGUUUGGAUCUUAUCGUUAGCGACUCCGACUUACUCAGUCGACGAUGCGGGUUCCCACACUUCUUCGGAUCCCCUCUCUCGGUGCCCAGCGACCGAGAAUCCAGGCAAGCAGCCAUUCCUUGAACAUGUUGAUUAUACCCAAUGCCUCUCUCUCGUUCUUGCAUUAAGUUAUGUUCUCAGUUCUUGUCACGAUGCCUCUAGGAAUUGCAUAGCUUUAGUCAGCUCUACUCAAAUGCAUGUUGUCUUGUUCCUUAUCCUAUUACCAUGUCACAUGUUUGUUAUUGUCCUAGUUGGUCAUUAGAAGUCUUGCUUAGAUGGCUAGUCUAGUGUCCUUACUUGGGGUUAUACACUUGCUACAUCCACAUGCUACUUUCUGUAUUUAAUUGUAAUUAUUAAACUGUGACCUGUUACUACCUGCACAAGGCAACGAUGGGAGGCCGUGCUAACGCAUUGGUGUUUUGUUCCAUUGGCGCCGACCUAAGGACUGAGUUCUCGUUUUCGUCGACCCAAGAAACUUCGCGCUAACCGCUCGUGGGAGAAUAUAUGGGUUCCCCCUCGGCUUAGUACUCGUUUCAUAGCUCUUCCAGGGGCCACAUAGUUCGGGCGUUCCAUUUGGCAUAACGCAUAUACGCUGGUGUUGUGUUUGGAGAUUUGUUGGUACUUUGCAUACAUAUUGGAUUGCAGCACUAGUCUGGAGUGGUCAUUCUGCGGACACUGAACCACUACCAGCUAUCCUCGCAACUCUUGAGUCCGUACGACGCUUCGGUCGGGCUCUCGUUUUGGCUUAGACUCGGUUGGGUGAUCCCCUGGAUUAGUUGUGGGGCCUGGAAACAUCGUGUCGUCCAAUCCUGCCGACACACGUGUUUGUGUGUUCCUACUCGAGUGGCAACAAGGGUUGGACGAACGUGUACGGGUAAAUUGGCACACCCUGCAGGGAUAAAUCUUUCGGAAAGCCGUGUCCGCGUUUAUGGACGACUUGAUUGGUCAUGACUUGAUCAUAGAGAACUCACUCAUUUUAGAUAACUUAAUCUCUUGAACUUGAGUAGUAAUUAGCCUUUAAUCAUGGAUAUGCUUAAAACUGCUUAAGCGUGAGUGCCUUUGGAUCAUUUCCUCACAAGGGGUUGGGGGGGGUGAUAAGAGGUUGUGUUUGCUUGGUGUUAGUUGUUAGAAGAUCACCUCACUUAGUAGAUGCUCCUCAUCCUCUAAUUAGACGAUGUCAUUAGUGUGUCUCUCCAGAUAUAAUGCUGUUGCAUAACCCCACCAUAUUAUCCAUCCUUUGAGACUUGUUGCAUAUAUAGUUUAGAUCUCCCGAAAGUCUUGCGAGUACUUUGUACUCUGUUGCUUUGCAACGUUGUUUUCUCCAGAUUUCCCAGAGGAGCAGGUGAGUGGUUACUUCGUGGAGUUUGACGACGACAGCUUCGACGUUUAGCCAGAAGAUUCCAGAGCAGGGUUCUGUGAACUUGUGGCAGGCUCUCCUUUCAGUUUCAGCCUCUUAGGCAAUAUUUGUAAACUUGUCCGUACUCUGGCCUAAUUUGCUUCCGCUGGUGUAAUGAUGAUUGUGGACAUGUGUCCGUAAGUUGUAAUAACUUUGCAUUUCGCUCCUUGUAUGAGCUUGACUUAAUCUUGUGUCUUAGAAGUGAUGUAAUGAUAUCAUUUUUGUUCCAACCUGCGGUGAAAACAUUGCGUGUAUGUUGUGAAGUGUUCAUCGUAGGGAGGCACUGGGACUUGAUUUAUGCGCGAGUUAGCAUUUGGGGCUAAAUUGCAUAAAUUCAGUCUCGGGGUCUCACAGGUCAGUACCUGUUGCCGGCUCCUCCCCCACUGAGAUUGGAUCAGCGGCGGGCGCCGUGGCGGCAUCGCCGGCUGUAACAUCCCAAAUUUUCAAUUUCGGAUGUUCGCAUCUUUUCAGUUCUUAAAAUUUUGGUGUUCGAUAUGAUGCAUCAUUGAAAGUGUUAGAAAUGGUGUUUUGGAAUGUGUUAGGUUGAUAGAAAUUGAUUUGAGAAUUUUCUAGAAUUUUAAUAAUGCAUUCUAGGAUUUUAUUUGGAUUUAUUUAAAGCUUAAAAACAUUAAAACUAUUUUUAGUCAUUUAUUUUUAAGUGGGAAUAAUUUUCAUGGACUCUAAAUGAAAUAUAUUAUUUUGCGGAAUUUUUGGGAAUAUUUCUGAAGCCAUUUGAUAUUUUAAAUGAUUUAAAUGCAAUUUCGGGUGAAUUAUAGAUCCUGAAAAAUAUUUUAUAAUCUUUUUCCUUUAUUUCUUUUCUUUUUCCCUGGAAUUACGCUUUCUCCGCAGGAAAGCGUAUUCUCGGAGAAGUACGCUUUCUACCCUUCUCUCUCUCUCACUGACAGGUGGGGCCCACCUGUCAUCCCCCACCUCCGGCACCACGCCCACGAUCUCCGCCAAGCGCCGCCUUCGCCGCAACUUCCCGCCAUGCCCGGACGCGCCACCGCCGCUCGCCGCUCGCGCCUGCCCGCAUCUGACCUCGUGCCCGCUUGGGCGCGCGCGCCCGCGACAUCCCGCGCCCAUGCCUGGCUGCGCCAACCGCCGCCGCCGCACGCCCCGCACCCACGACCCCGCGCCCGCGCAACCGCCGGCCACCCCGCGCAUGCGCCUCUGCCCUAUAAAAUCGCCCUCACCUGCACUCGCCCGUGCGCGCUCCCCGCGUGCCUGUGCCCCCAAACUCCGGCCGAACCGCCGUCGCUGCCACCCAAACUCCGACGAGAAAUUGCCGGAGCUGCGCCGACCGAUUCGCGAAGCCGCCGACGCCACUCUUCUUCCCGCGAAGCCGUGAACCUCGUCCAACCCUUCAUCUUCGUCCUCCAGCCUCAAUUCGUGGAGUCAUUCGUCCCAAUUGAGAUUUGGGUAUGAACUUGUUCAAGUUCUCUGAAACUUAUGUUCUUCUGUUAGCCCUGUUCUUGCGUCGAUUGUUAGCAGACCGUUGAUCAUUAUGUGCUCUAGUUUUCACCAUUGUGUAGAGUGAAUGUUUCUCUAUAAUUUCUCUAUAGACAGUAGCCGUAGAUGGUUCAUCUUGAGCACUGCAUCAUCGUCGCAAAAUUGUAUCCUAAGCAGCCUCUCUGCCGUAUCUCUGCCGCGGCAGGAAUUUGCAGCACCAUUCUUAGUGGGUAGCCUUGUUCGUAGUAGUUCUUCUUGUUGUCCGUAGCAUCAUUGUAGUUGAUUAUUUCCAUAGUUUGAACCUUAGGUACACCCCUUCAAAGAAAUUUCCUAGUUGGACCAUUUCAAUUUCACCUUCACUAGCAGCACGACGGUAGAAGUUCAUAUCCUGUACUGUUCUGUUUUCGAGUAGCCACAUUCAUCUGUUCAUAGCUACUGCCUCAUAUCUCCAUAGUUAGUGAAACUAGUGCCAUUUUGAAGAGUAGAUCAUAUUUUUGGAUUCCUUUCUUUAUUUCUCUGUCAUUGGAAUAGUUUAGCACCAGUAGCCUUUCAGUAGAAGUUAGUAUUCUUUGUCUGUCAGAAUCUGACUAGCCACCUUUGCAAGCCAGUAACUUUUGAUCUGUUUAUCCAAUUGACCUGAAACCUGUUGCGUUAGCUAGUACAACCCUAGAACUAUAUUGUAGCAUAUGUUUCAUGCCAUGUUCUGUACUUUAGCACCUUCUACCUAUCAACCCUAGUUGCAAUCUGUUAACAGUAGCAGAUUACUGAAUCUUCAGACUUAGCCACUCUAGCCUUAACCUUAGACUUUAGAACCUUGUUUGUUAAUACUAUGGUAUUACUUAGAUGAUGUUUAGGUUCUGUUUUUGUAUGCUUGUGAUACAUCCUUUAUCCGAAGUUCAUUUGGAGUUAUAUUUGGAUUUUGAGAGAUGUUUGGAACUAUGCAUUUAUUGUUGUUUCGUUCUUCGCGUUAGAUUAUUCGGAUUGCGAUUGCGACGAGUGCCAGGGAGUUGACGACCGCAACAACUUCUCUGAACCAGGCAAGUUACACUUAUUGAUCAUGUAGUACCUAUAAUUUGCUUAAGCUAUCUUGUUUACAAUGUCAUAGGGAUGCAAGUUAGAGUUAUGUCUUUAUGAAGUAUUUAUCAAAUGCGUUUUCAACAUGUUUAGUUAUUCCUAGUAGAUUGCUUAUAGGAUUUUAUUGCCAUGCCACCAAAUACCAUAGGUUAUGUAUUUACAUUUCCCCAAAGCAUGCUAUACUAUUAUAACAGGACGGGACCCAAACUAUAUUGAAAAGUAUUAACUGCUCUUUAUGAGCGAGUAUGUUUUUGGAAAAAUGUUUUCGAAAUAAAACCAAAAUGUUUUAUCUGGAUGGAGUGGUAUGAUAGAGGCCAGUUGGCUGUCGGCAAGUGUUGUAGCCCCGUAACGGGUACACGCUCAGGAGAAGGUGGGGACUGCUGUCCAGAAAUCCAAGAGUUCAAACCUUUUCAUGUACCCCAAGGCUUCUUGUGCAACCACUUGCUAUUAUGGGCUCUGCCUUGGUCGACUAACUAGCGGGAAACCCUUACCUGGGUAUCGCCAUCCGGAGAGGAGCCAAUGUGCUCAUAUGGGGCGGGCGGUGCCAGAAUUAGGUAUCAGGGGGCUUCUAGUGAAAGACUUUGUCACAAUCUUUACCUGUUACGCACGCUUGUCGUCAGGCAACACUUUGGACUGAUUGUGUCAAGUGGGUAAAGUGUACAAACCUCUCGAGAGUGUCAAUCUAAUCGAUUAGCCAUGCCCCUGGUUACGGGCGACUUUGAGUCAUUAAGUCAGGAGAAGUGGAGAUCUUCAAGUUUUGUUUUCAAAAACCCCAAAACUGUUUUGACUCGAUGGAAUGUUCCACAGAAUGACUCAGGGAAAAAGGGAUGCUAUGUGAGUGUCAGUUGACCCAGAGUGCAUAGCUAGGUCGUGGAGUGAACAUCCACAGAAUGACCAUAAUAUUGAUCAAACCCUGUUUUAUCAAAACUUCAGGAUUAGAGAUUUUCAAAAGAAAAUACUGUGAGUAUUUCGAAACUCCAAAAGCAGCAUUUUGCAAAAACAACCCUAUUAGCCAAACCAGGAAAUCCUUCAUCAUUUCCAUGCAUUCCUCCUAACCACACAGGUGUGACUUGCAAGUACAUUCAAUGUACUAACUUGCACCUAUCAUGUGCAGAGAGUGACGCUUAAGAAGAAGACGCAGGGUCACGAGUCUACACUCAACUUGCCUGUGGCGUUGAUGGGACUCCCUCUUUAUCAGUGUGUUUUAUCUGAACUUUCGCUUGGCUUGUAUUAAGUACUCUGGAUUUGUUAUUCGAACCGAUGUAAUAGACAUGUGUAUGGUAUUUCAUCAAUGGAACUGUGUGUGCUAGCAUUUGAUCCAAGGACUAGCACAGUUUACAUAGAGGUCCGGAUCCUUACGGGUCUGGGUCGCCAUACCGGCCCCCGCACCGGCCGGGUCGGUGCUGGUGCCGGCCUGGAUGCGCGUCCCCUUGCUCGGCGCGACGGGCGACGAAUCGGCUCUCCCCCUCUUGCCGGCUCCCGACGGGGUGCCGUCCUUCGGGGGGUUGAGCUUGAACUCGAAGCCCCGGAAGAGCCCCCGCUUAGGCGAGGCCGGGGGUGCCCGAGGGGUUGCCGCGCCCCCGGUCACCGUGGAAGUCGACGCGGCACCGGCGGCCGCCGCAGGCGCCCUUGAUCUUUGCACGAUCAGGGGCGCGUCGUCUUCAACCUCCUCCUCCUCCACCGCGAAAAGGGCCGCUUGGACCUUGGCAACCUAGCCCGCCACGUCGCCGGAGGACUCUAGGUCGGGCCAGCUGAGCUUCGACUCUCCCCCACUCUCCACGAGCGCCUGCUUCCCACGGGUUUCGGGUGGAGGGGGACGUGGGGCCCGGGCAGGGGAGUCGGACAUCAGCCCCCACUCGUUGCAGGGCGGGUAGGAGCUGAUGACCUUGUGCAGCCCCAAGACGUCGGCAUGGAGUGAGGGAGCCCCUGGCGGAAGCUCCGUGACGGGGGCGUCCUCUCCGGUGAUCCCCUUCACCAACGCCUGGAUGGCCUCCGGGGCCAUGUCCCCGUGCUGGAGGCGGGUGGCAUCCCAGGACCCCGUGUACAUCCACGCGGGGCGGGAGCGCAGCUGCAGCGGCGCUAUACGCCGGCCGAUGUGGGUGCGCGCCACGUCGAGGUCGGUGAGCCCCGCUAGCCGCAGGGCCUUGAUCCGCUCGACGAUGGGGAGGAGUCCGGCGUCGCACCUGUAGCGGUUCCACCAGGUGUCGUUGGGCACCGGCAGCUCGGUGGGCGUGAAGAUGAACUCCUCCGGCUCCUCAACGCGGACCUAGCACCAGUCCGCGCGCCACUCCUUCUCGAUCUUUUUCUCCAACCGGACAAUGAACUCUGAUUUCAUCCGGUCGCGGGCGCAGAACACCACCCCCGAAGACAUCGCCCCCGCCUUGUCGUCGCACGGGGCUCCGACAGCGCGGGCGUGCGGCCACGCCCCCUUUUUAGGUUCGGCAGGGGCGUCGGGGAUCGCUCCGGCGAUCGCCGACGUGGCCGAUGGCCUACGUAACCUACAAAGUGAUGCACCCCGGAUGCACGCAAGCUAAGAACACAUGCACGCACGUUUUUACCCAGGUUCGGGCCACCCGGAGGUGUAAAACCCUACGUCCUACCUAUCUGAACUGGUAUUGACUAUAGGUCAAGUGUUUACACGUUGCCGGGGGAAGAGUCCCCGGGCGCUCUCCUUUUGGCUAAGUGCUCUUUACCACUCUAGGGUACUGCUAAUGGCUAAGUGUGAGUGCGCCUACCCGUCAAGUUGUGGAAUCAUGGAACCAUCCAACCGUCGAACCCUUUGACCGUCGGUGGGGGUCCUCCUUUUAUACUGAAGGGGAUACCACAGGUGCAGCGGUGCAUGCAUUACAGGUGUUGAUCAGGGAGACAUGCCACUCCCCCUCGGUGAGCUCGUGGCAUGCAUGGACGCCACCUCCGCUGCUAGGAGUCUAAAACCCUAAAGGUAGGAUUGGACAACCACUGUUCACCUGAUUUGGACGGGUAACGCCCCUCCUGUCGGCUCAUUUAAUGCGCCGUGCACCUCACUCCUCGCCCUGGUGAGACUGCGCACCCGACGCCCGCCACGCGCCCGUGUGGCGCAGUUGCUCUGUCCGCUUGGCCCCACCCUUGCGGCGGGAGCCUGCGCCCAGGAAAUCCUCCUCCCGGCAAGUCGCUCCCCGGGAAGCGCCCAGGCCAAACACACCCGGAAACCCCCCUCCCGGGAAGCGGCUUCCCGAGAGGUGCCCAAGCAGGAAUAUUCCCCGAAGCCCCGCUAGCCCUUCCGGGCUGGUAGCUUGCCGGGCUGCUCGUGGCUGCUGCCCGGGAUGAAAUCCUCUCGGGAACUCGGAGACGGGGCCCACGCGUCGCGCAACGGUGGUACCCCAGGUGCCACUGGUGCGACACGCCUGCUCGACGCGCGGGUAGAAGUAGUGCCGGAAUCAUGCCACCGACGGCAUCACUCCGACGAAUCCCUCACAGAGGAAUUGGAAGACAGCAAGGAGAAAGAGGGAGGUGGGGUGGAGCUGCGCCACCCGGAGCUGGUACGCCUCCAUGAGCGCGUGGAGGAACAGGGAGUACCGAGGCACCAACCCGGUGAGGAUGAAGCGCGCGAACACCCGGAAGUCGUUUUCCUAGUGGUCGCCGCCGGCGGGGAAGAUGAGGGUCUCCCCGUACUCGUUGAAAAGCGAGGCAACAGCGUGCCGGCCCUUGUCCAGUGCCUCACCGUUGUAGCCGGGCCGGAAGAAGGCGCACGUGGCCCUCAGCUCCCUCCUCUUUUGGUCCUUAUCCGAGGCGGGCUUCUAGGGCACCGUCUCGCUCCUGUCGGCUGCAGGCCUCUUGGAGCCUUUCCCUUUCUUGGGAGCGGGGGGCGCCAUGAGAAAUGUGGGCAGAAGCUGGCCGGAGGCAGGGGUGCGAAGAAGAUCGGAGACGAAGGGGAAAAGCUGGGGGGCUAAGUGCUUGCUCCCCAACACAGCAGCGGAGUCUUAUAACGCCCCGGCGCUAAGCAACGGUCGCAUCCGCACCCUACAGGUGCGCUGGGAUAACCAUGCUCCAAAAGGGGGAUAACGCAGGGCGUGGCUUUAACCACCCAUGUUUAAUGGGAAGGUUAGGGCGGAAAUCUCGCGCCCACUACUCUGCCCGUAACGGCAGAGUCCUUGAAGCAGCACAUAAACGGGGCCGAAGCGGCUCGGGACCCACGUGUCGGUUAGGGGCGUCGCCCGGCAACCGACCUGGGAAGAGUCCACCCGGGAACAGGCGUUGCUGGCCCAUGCCCGGGGGCUACUGUCACACCAGUGGCACCCCGGGUACCACCGCUGCAUGACGCGUGGGCCACCUGGGCAGCUCCGCGCAAGCUGCCCGGCAAGUCACCAGCCCGGCAGAGCUAGCGGGGCUUCGGGGGUUGCCUUGUAGGGCAGCAAGAGAAAUCCCGCCUAGGCGCUUCCCGGGAAGGGUGUUCCCGGGCGCAGGCGCGCGUUACAGGAGCGGGACCGAUCGGGCAGGACGGCGACGCCACGUGGCUGCACGGCGGACUCCCUAUGCGCAGGGUUCGUCAGGACAAAGAGUGUAGCACACGCGAGCAUUUAAUGCACCAACAGAAAGGGGAUUCCUCGUCCAGUCAGCCUAUAGUGACUGGCCGGGGUGUAAUUUUUAGGCGCUUAGACCCCUAGUUGCAGGGCUACUCUUUGUGCAAUUAAGCCAGCACACCGAGGGAGAGCUGGGCUAGCUCCCUGCUCGCCAUUUUUCACCCAUGCACCAUGGCACCUAUGGUAUCCCCUUCGGUAUAAAAAGGAGGAUCCCCACCAACGGUCAAAGGGUUCGGUUCAUUCGGAUCCACACUAGCUCCACCCAGGAAAAGCAAAUAACACUUAGCUAAAAAGAGAGAGCACCCAAGGACUCCCCCCGGCAACCUGUAAACCCUUGUUCAUUGGUUAAUAGCAAAACACAGAAGCAGGACGUAGGGUCUUACACCUCAGGGUGGCCCGAACCUGGGUAAACGAUCUCGUGUCUAUUGUGCUCCAACGCUUGGCAUUGGCCUCGCCGGCGAUCGCCUGAGCGACCCCCGCCGCCCACUGCCGAACCUAAAAGAGGGUGCCACGCAUCCCCGGUGUCAAAGCCCCGUGUACAACAGCUAAUGAACUCAAAAGACUCAAGUCUAAGUUUCGGGCCAUGGAUCUGAAUAAAGUUCAUGCUGAGACUAGUCUUAACUAUGUUUCGAUCAAACUUGAGCAUGAUAAUCUGAAGAACUCUUAUGAGGAUCUAAAAUCUAUGAAUCUUGAUCUCAAUGCUAAGUUAGUCAACUUACGUCAAAACAAUGAUUCCUCUGAAGUAUGUUUUAAAUGCAAUUUUUCAUUGAACAACAUUCCUCAAAUCACUACUUCAAAUGCUGUGACUCAAACUGAUUUCCCUGCUUCAAUUGAUUCACCUUAUGUUACUUCUAGCAUUAUUACUUCUAUUGGUAAAUCUUGCAACGCCCCGGCAAUGCGGGGACCGAGCUUACCCCAGCAAACCAGUGUUACCGAAGGGAAAAACCAAGGACCCAAAAUGAGAUACUUAGCUUCUCGUCCUUUUUCGACUUGUUGCACCUUGCUAAGAGCCGUGGCAAGGACGCGGUGGCAGUGCACCCUCCAGCAGCACCCUCGGAGCCGCGGAGGCAUGCACCACCACCGCGUCUUUAUGACGCCUCUCGCUUGUCUCAUCGCCAUUUCUGGUGUCGUUUCGUAAGAGAUGUGGCAGGGCCGCGAUGGUGGGAACACCCUCAGCGACAAGCGUAGAGGGAUGCAGCACCAUCGCCUGUCUGCGACAUCUCUUGCCUUCUUGCCUGUUGCUGGUGUUGCACUUGCCCUGGUCUCCUUAAAUAGCCAAAGCGUUGCUCUUGCCUCCGCACGCCCAGGACCACCAGUCGCCGCGUGGAGGCAUUGGCCCUGUCUCAGUUUCCUGCAUCAAAUCUCGAAGUAAUUGCCAUAUAUGUACAACUUACUUGCAAGACAACGGCACCCAUGACCACACACGAGCAUCAUCACAGUGUGCCUUUGCCUCAUCUCUAUCCUGCAUGUCAGAUUCCUGCAGUGCCCAAGGUACAUAGCAAAAAAAAAUCGAAAUGCACGAAAAACAGUAUAAACUGGAUAACCUCCUGCCUCCCAGCCCCCGGGGAAAGAAGAGUCCACCUCAGACCUGGUUGUGAGCAUA
rnacentral:lncRNA from 1 species